rnacentral:lncRNA from 1 species
GAUAGAAAAGGUUGGAGAGAGUGACUCUCAACAAUUCUCUCCUUUCUAAAGCUGCGAAAGAGGCCCCAACCCCCCCACCCCCCAAAACAAGGACAAAGCCAACCAACCCUCUUUUGCCCCUUUAAUGAGAGACCCUCGCCUCGCUUCCUAUUCAUUUGUGGGUCGGGACCCGAGGGCCUUUUUUUUUUCAAGAGGUGAUUUCGAGAAUCAACCAACCGACAAAUAGCCCAGGUGACUCACAGCCUCCCCCUCGCCCAAAUGAAAUGGGAUGAAGAAAAGAAAGUAUAAGCUUUUUGAUUGAUUCAGGGCGCAGCGAAGCCAAAUUCAAUCAAGGCAAAGGGGGGCUUACUUUUCCUGACGCUGAGUCAUCCUAUUCAAAUUUAGCUAUGCUAAUGGAACAGGACAAGUUUUCAGAUGAUAUGGACCCCCAAGAGAUGAGCGAGAACCUCCAAUUGCUUAGGGGUCGCACUCUGUUCCCGCUUGGUGGACGAGAUCUUCUCCCCUUUUAGCUCCCACACACCCUUGCCCUCUUUCACCGAAGAGGAAAGAAGAAUCUUCCAAGCAGACAGAGAUCUAAAUUUCCAUUAGAUUCAUUCCUAAGCUUGCUGAUGAGUUGUUAAUUUAGAUUGUCCAUGCGCGAUACACACAUGCAAAUUUACUCAUGAAUGCAGUGCGUGUCGCGCAUGGACGACCAAAAUUUAACAGCCAUUGUUUCGCUCUAGCUGACAAUCCAUGGGGUACGCUGCCCUUGUUCCCUAAUCCUAUAUAUACAAAGGAAUUUGCUGAAUUGAUUUUCAUAUUCAUUAAUAAUUUAUGGAACUUUAAACGUGCAUUUCUUGCGACUUCGACAUCCAUGGGUCAAUUCAACAUCUAAAGAAGUGCAAAAUAGUGACAAUGGUUGUACGAGUUUUUUUUUUUUUUUUUUUUGUCAUAUGCAUACACAAAAUAUAUCUUCUUAAAAAAUCCUUAGUCAUUAAGCAAAAAAGUUGAGACAUUAUACUUUUGUGGCUUGUUAAUCUUCAUUUGGCAACCCAAAAGGAUUAGUCUAAUUGCUAAAGAAGGGAACUCUUUUUUUUCUUGCUAACUAUGGUUUAAUUCAUACGAGGAGCACUUCAAUAGAAAUCUUAAAUGCAUUAAGUCGAUAUCCCUUAAAAUUGUUCGAAAUGAAGACUUGACCGUAAACAAAAUUUAAGGAUACAUCUAAUCGUAUUAAAAAAAAAAAAAAGACAUUAUGACGUCUAAUGUUCACACAUUCUUUUCAUUUUCAGCAAGAGAAGAGACAAUUGAUUUAUUUAUUAUUUUUCUUCCUUGUAGAUAAGAAAUUCUUCUGCCAUCAAUCUUUAUUUUUCAUUUUCUUCGUUACUGAAAUGUUUAUAAUUUAUUUAUUAAUUAUGUUUUUUAAAGACAAUGCGGUUGUCAAUAAUGGUUUAGCUUGCUGUAAAGAGUAUUGAAUUUUUAAUUUUAGUAACAUAUAAUUUUAAAUAUGAAAUAUAUUUUUUCAUUUUAUGUCCUUAUAGGAACUUUGGGAAAGAAAAGUAUGCAUUUCUGAUUGAAAGUGUUAUACAAUUGACUCGCAUCAGGACAUUCACAUGGAGAAAGUGAGGCUUUGUAAUCUAAAGACAAAAAUUUAAAGCUUAAAGCAUGGGAAGAAAUCAACUUCGCAUUUCAAACACUUUGAUUUGUCAUGACAUCUGCAAUUGAUUUCACUGCCCAAUUAUGACGUGCAGUUAUUGCUUCGUCUUAUAGAAAUAAGAAAGGAUUAAAGGAAUAAAUAACAAUUUUUUAAAGUAAAUUUCAUUAAAAUUUUCAACAAAAGUUUAAAUUAAAAAUUGAAAUAUGUAAGUGAUAGAAUUCAAUAAAUAGAUUAUAUGCACAAGUUACGGGCCGAGACUUAAUUUUCAGACUUAUACAUCUUUAAAAUUCGAAUAUGCAUUCAUUCGACGUUAUACUCAAAUCUUAAAAUUGUGUAAAUCUGAAAGUUGAGUUUCGGCCUGCAAUAUUUACACAUACAAAAAAUAAUAAUUAUAUAUAAUUAACUCUUAAACAAAAACUUAAGAUGAGUUUCUCAAUGUUUAUAAACUUUGGAGUUCAUUCGAUUGCCAUUUCAUUUAAUUGUAUUAAUUAAUUAAUUAAAUUUAAAUUUAAAUUUUUAUUCAAUCAUUUUUAAUAAAAUAUUUUAUGAACUUUUUUUAAAGAACUUGACUCAUAUAAUUAAUAAUUAUAUAAAAACAUAAAAUUGUAAAUAUUUCGGAUGUUGUGUUAUUUUAUUAUUAUAUAUGAGAAUUGGACAAAUCUGAGAAUCUCGACUUAGGUAAAAAUGUUCAUUAAUUUAAGUACCCAUCUAGCUUAAUUAAUAAUUUAUAUUCUGAUUUCAGAAGAAUUAAUUAAAAUAACAGUUAUGAUUGUUAAUGGGUCAUCACUAACAUGAGCCUCAAGUGGCAUUUUCACUUUCAUCUUAUGAAUUUAUAAUGUGAUAUAAUAAAUAUUAUUUUAGUUUAAUUUUUCAUAAUUUUUAAUUUGAUUUUAUUUUAUUCUAAAUAUAUUAUUAAUUAAAAUAUAUUCAAAUGGACUUCAUUUUUUUUUAUUAUUAUUGUGUCUUUUAAGUUUUUUUCUCUUUUUGAUUUUCGUCAGUUUAAAAAAAAAAAAAAACCAAAGAAAAAGCGUGCACGAUUUGAAACUUUAAAGGAGGAAAUUUGAUCCCCUCAACAUGAGAUUGAUCCCAUGAAUCUUCAGCUUCCCUAAAACAAAUUUUCUUCGAUCAAGGGAUCAAUCCCUUGUUUCAGCAAAUCAACCGGUACCAAUCAAUUAUUGAAGAAAAUAACAGCUAGUUUUUUCUACCAAAUCAAUCAAAGGACUUUAAACUUUAAUCUAUUUUAAGGUUAAAAUUAUAUAAAAAAAAAAACCUUUGAACUUUAUAAUUUUAUUUAGAUAAGUUUUAUUACAUUUAAAUAAACCUUUGACAUUUAAUUUGCAUCCAAAUAAGCCUUUAACAUUUAGUUUAUAUUCAAAUAAACCUUUUACUUUUAAUUUACACCUAAAUACGAGUUUAACGUAAAUUAAUAUUUCAUUUGAAACAAUAGAUUAUUUCGAUAAAAUCAAAAUAUAAAUGCUCAUUUAAUUACAAUAAAAGUAUAAAGACUUAUUUUUUAAAAAAUGAAAUAAAUCAAGAGUUUUAUUUUUUUGUAAUAUUUUAGCUUUAUUUUAACUAUAAAAGAGGAAUGCUUAAUAUAUAAAUGACCUUUAAACUAUAAUGAAAUAUUUAAUGUGGUAUUUGUAAGAAAUUUCAAGCUCGAACCAUUGACAUUUUAUGUUAAGUUAUGUGCUUAAAUUUCAUAUAUUUCUUAUAUUGUUAAUUUUUCAUUCAUAUAACUGUUUGUUGGCCUUCCUACAUGAUAUCCUUGUAUGUUUACUUAUGAUGUUCAGGUCAUGAAAUAGGCUUUUGCUAUAUUAAAGAAACUAACAUUAGUAAUAUUUGAGGUAUCUCAUACAUGUAAAUAUAACAAAGAUUACUUCGUCUAUUGUAAAUUGAUUUUUGAUUUAAUGCUUAUCUUAAAAUUUGACACAAGGUUACAAUAGGUUAGCUUAAAUGCCCAUUCCAAAAUUUAUCAUGUUAAAAUUUAGGACAAGCAUUGAAUAAAAAUUAAUUGACAAUAAAUGAAAAAAAUCCUUGUUUUUGCAAGCAUAAGAUGCAUACUCAAACUUAACUGAUAUUGAAAAUUUUUUAUUAUCUAUUUAUUAAAAAAUUUAGAAUGUUGCUUGCCCAUCUCAGUAUCCUAUUUCUACUAUAUCUGAUAAUUUAAAAUUUUUUGUAAAAGUUAUAUUAUAGUUUAACAAAAAUAAAAAAAAUAUAUUUUAUAUUUUUUAUGUUGAUACGAAUUAUGAUAAAUAAUUUUUGUGUGAAACAAGAUAUUAAAACACAAAUUGCCAAAUCUAAUUCUACCAUCCCACACCAUGGUGCCAUGUUAGAAGAAAAGCUUACAUCGUUUUUUUUUCUUAUUUACUUGGGUUUUUAUUUAUUUUUAUUUUGAUUUCUCUGAAAAUUUUGCUUGUUUUCCAUUAAUAGUUGUAGACAUCUAAUUUUAUUCAGGUACAUUCUAACCAAUUAUGAUGCUUUCAAAAUCAGGUCUAGUUCAUAUCCAAUAUUAUUUUAAGAUUUACGAAUUUUUUUAAAUUAAAAUUUGGGUUAAGAUAGCCAAAAUGCCCUAUGAUCAAAUAUGGUCAAAUAAGGUCUAACUUUGUCAAACUUAGUUAAAUUUGGUAGAACUCAGGUCAACUCUUGAAAUUCACAAUUGAGUGGGACAAGACUUGAGAUUAAUAAAAUUAUGAUUUGGAUUCUUGAAAAUCUAGAUUACAGCUCAUAAGGAUAAAAUUACCAAAAUACACUUUAAAGGUAUUUUCAUGAGCUUUUAAAGUCAGUUUUUUGUAAAAGACUUUAGAUCAUGUGUUAUUAUUAUUCCAUGAAUUUUUAUGCAUUGAAAACCUUGUAUGGUAAAGUAUUGUAAAGUUUAAGAAGAAACCAUGUAUGUUGAAGGCAAGUGUCCAAAAAAAGAUUUUUAAUAGUUUUGAAUCCAUUUAAAGAAAAAAAUGAAAGUGAAAAAAUGAAAAAAUAAGACAAGGGAAAGAAAAUGGAAGAAAGUAGAAAAAAAUGAAAAGCAAAAAGGAAGGAAAAAAGAACAGAAAGAAAAAAAAAUGAUUGAUUGGAAAGUAUAAAAAAAUGAAAGGAUAAAUGCCCCAAAAUCAUUUCUUCGAAUGAGAAACAAUGAUCCUUAGUUUAAUCACCCUUAAACACUUAUUCAGGGCCUACCUAUCUUUUUAUUUGAAAACCUCGAACCUUGGCUUACAUUCAUCCUUAGAAAAAUUCAUAUUGGAUCAAGUAUAGAUGUUUAAAUUAAAGAGCUUCUCUUUGAGGAACAACCAUAAAACCUAUGAAUCAUUUUGUCUUUCUUCAUUACCUAAUUACCUGUUUAGAGUUUAAAUUCUUAAGUGUAUGGUGUAAUAAUCAAAAAGAAGGAAAAAAAAAAAAGAUAAAUGUUGCUCUAGGUUGAAAACCCUACAAAAAGACAAUCUAAAGCAAACCUUAAAGGCUUUAAAGUCACUCGUGAUACUAAUUGAGAUAUAUACUAACUAAAAGUAACCCAGACCCUUUUAAAAAUCCAAAAAUAUCAAGGUCCCAAAAGUUUAAAAUCCAUAAAAGAUAUUGAUUUUGAAAAUUUAAGCCUUUUUCUAUUCUAAAAUGACCUUUCAAAAUCUUAAGUUCCGUUUUGGCUAGCUAAGAUAUUUAUCAAAAUGCCACAUUUGAAGACUAAAAAAAAGUGUCACAAUUUUUUUGUUUUCAAAAAAUUCAUACUUUUUAGAUGAUCAUGUUUUCGUUUGUGAGCCUAGUGGGAAGAGUAUACAUUUAUUUUGUUUCUUUCAAGCUGUAAAGCUCUUUUGAAUGAAUCAAGCCCUUGAUAUGCUAAAUCGCCCAAUCUAUUUACAAAUGAAAUAAUUACCUUUUUCGAUUUUAGUAGGAAACACAAAUUUUUACAAGACUCUAAAGUAGCAUUUGUUCAAUUAUUUCAUUAUCUUUGGUUAUGAAAUUUAAUUAUGCGGGGUAAUUUGAAAAUUUUUUGAAUAACUAGUUAAGCACUUUUUGUAGUGAAUAAAGAAAUCAUUUAGACAAAUUUUGAUUUAAAAAAAAAUGUUUUCCUUUUGAAUAAUAAACAUUUUGAAGAAAAAAAUUAGAUUCUUUCAUGCACUCAAAGAGCAAGAGUAACAUAGUUGUUUGUCUUCUUACAUGAUGCAAGGCUUAAAAUUGAAAAUAAUUGUACACAUAGGGUAUGUUUGAAAAAAUAAAGGCUCAUUUAGUUAUAAUAAAAGUAUAAAGACUUAUUUUUUAAAAAAUGAAAUAAAUCAAGAGUUUUUUUUUUUUUUAUUGUUUUAGCUUUAUUUUAACUAUAAAAGAGGAAGGCUUAAUCAAUAAAUGGUCUUAAAUUAUAAUGAAAUAUUUAAUGUGAUAUUUGAAUUUAAAAAAUUUUUAAUAUAAUAUUUGAACAAUAAAUAUGUUAAUUAAUAUGAUACUCACCCCUAACGUAAUUAACUUCAAAUGAUUAUAUGUGAUGGGCAAACAAUUCUUGAAAUAACAUAUUAAUUAACAGUUAAUAAUAUCACAUUAGAGAUUUUUAAAAUUCAAAUAUUACAUAAAAUAUUUUAACAUAAUUAAAAAACUAUACAUAAUGUUAACUGUAAGAGGAAUUCUGACAUAUUUGUGAAGUAAGAGAAUAGGAAUAAAAAGCAAUAUUUUAAUUUUUAAAAAAUUAAAAAAUUUUGAACUUUAAUUCUUCUUCAUUUGUAUAAUAUUUUUAUCAUUCUCUUUCUUUAUACUUAAUUGGUAAACACUCAAUUUUUGGGAUGUCAAUUUACUUGCAAAACUAUUUGUAUCUUCUUGAGUUGAUUGUGAGCAAGUUGGCAAACAGAGCAAUCAAUUUUUAAUCGUGUCACUUGGUCAUUUCAUUUUCAAGAAAAUUCAGAUCAUUUUCAUAUGUGAAUCAUUUUGGAUUUAAGUUAUAUUAGGAUUGAUUUAAUUCAGGUUUAAGUCCAAUUUUAACAAACAAAAUUAAAUUAUUCAAAGUUACAUUUUUACCAACUUUUAGCAUAUUUUUAUUUUUUAAUUUUGAUGUAUAGUUUAAAAAAAAAGAAAAAAACUUUAUGGUGUAUAAUUGUACAAAUUUAAUUUAGUUAUAAUGGCAAAAAAAGAAUAUUUUUCAAUCUUUUCCAUUUAUAAUUGAAAAAGGAUACUUGUAUUUAAGAAAGAUAAUCUCCAAAGGUUUAUGAAAAUAUAUAAAAGAAAGAAUUUUAAAUGAUAAUUUUUUUAUUGAGCAAUAAAUGGUCCCUAAACUUUGUCCAAUAUAUUCUUUCCUUGAGUUAGGCCAAACAUGUUUACCUAUGUUAAUAAAUUCAUGAAAAAUUAUUUUUCUGUUAAUAGAUUCAAAAUUAAUUAGUAAAUUACUAAUUAUGUUAUACUUAUUAUUUUUAUUAGUUAAUAUUUUAAAAUAUAAAAAUGUAUUUAAUUUAAGUUAUUUGAGUCGUUUUUGAUUAAUUUUUUAGGUCAUUCAAGUUCAAAUCAAUUUAAAUUUAAAUUAAUUCAGGCUCGAAUAAUUUUUGGUUCAAAUUUUUUGAAUUUCAAUCGGUUUAAAAUUUUGUUAUUAACAUUUUUUAAUCAAAUAGGAUUGGGUCCAAUUGGAGUUUAGAAAGGUUUGACGAGUUUUUUGGGUUUGACAACUCUAAUUGUGUGUUGUAAAGCUUAUGUCUAAUCAUCAAAAAUGCAUUUGUAAUUUGUUUUGGGUACUAAUAUGCAUUUGUAAAUUUAUUGAUAUAGUGAAUUUGAUUUUUUUUUUUUUUAAGAAUAAAUUCAACUUCAUUAAUCAACUACUGGGAUAAUACAUUUGUUUUUGAUAACAUCAUCUAUGAUGGGAGGGAAAUCUUCCACCCAGUAAGCAUCCCUCUCUAAACCUAAAGCAAGCUUGGCUAGCUUAUGUGCUGCCUUGUUCAUCUGACACCUUACCUGAGUAACCUCAAAUGAUUGAAAAUCUUGUCUCAUCAUUCGUGCCUUAUCCAGGAUAUUGCCUACUGUGGACAGAUCCUUAGUUUGCUUUUUAAGUUUGGAGAUGACCUCAGCUGCAUCUCUUUCCAAUAUUAUCUCCGUGAAGCCUAGUUCCUUGGCAAAGAGAAUGCCAGCCACUAAGUAUGCUUUGAUCACCACAGCUUGUAUAAUUCCUGUUAUUCAUUUUGAAGUAGCCUCUAAGACUUCCUCUCUGUCAUUUCGUGCCACUAUCCCAAUACCUCCAAUUGCCUCUAUGAGAUGUAAGGCCCCAUCAAAAUUAAAUUUGAUAAUAUUGGUGGGUGGCACUUUCCAGAUUCUGGUGAUUUCCAGCUAUCUAUAUGUCUGGUCCUGUCUCCCUUUAACUUCAUACAGAUAGCGAAGAGCAAAAUUUAUAGUUUCUUGAGCAGUUCUGAGUACCUUAUUGUUUAUCAGCUCGUUUCUGCUAUGCCAGAUAACCCAGCAGAUCACAAGACCUUUUUCGAAACUUUCACUGGUCAUGGAGUUGGCUAAGCUAGAAAGCCAUCCUUUGUCUUCUGCAUAUAAGUUAGUCGUCCAACAUCUAUUCGCUUCAGCAAAGAGCAAUAUGUCCUUUGCUUUUUGACAAUCCCUUAAAGUGUGUAUCACCGUCUCUUCAUGGAUUCCACACCAAGGGUAGAUCUUGGUAUCGAUAUCACGCUUCUAUAAAUUACUCAAAACUGGUAAAAUACCAUAAUUUAGCCUAUUAGGAAUAAGACCCAAAUCCCAUAAAAGAUUUGAUUGAGAUUGGCUAGAUAUUAUUUUAUGGAUAAAAAGACUUACAAAAGAAGAAUUAUAUGAGGAAGAGGAUUCUUAAUAGAUAAGUUUGACUUGUAGAAGAAAAUUUCUAUGAAGAAAGGGAUUCUUAAUAGGCAAUUUUGUAUACUUAUAACUAGAUGGAGCAUCUCCAAAGUUAGGUAUGAGAAAAAAAUAUAAGAGAGUUGUAAGAUUUUAUGGGAUAGAUACCCCAUAGGAGUACUGGAGAUUUACAUCUUAUGGGUGUGUAUGUUUGUGAGUGGACUAAAUGAGACUAAAAGAGUCCACAUAGGUAUGGUACAUGAGAGUAGACUAGAGGUGAUUGAGAGGGUCUACAUGGGUAUAAUGAAUGGGUAUAUAUGGGUAUGUGUUUGUUUGUGUUGAAAGGGUGCACAUGGAUAUGUGUUUGUUUGGGUUAAGAAUACUCUAUAGAACUAGAAGAGAUUAAAAGAGUCUAUAGGUAUUGACUGUUGAGUAGUUGAUAUGUUUUGAUGUAUGUUUGUAAUUCUCUACAACUAGUGGAUCUUGUUUCUCAUCCGUAGGCGUAAGUCAGUUGGACUGAAUCACUUUAAAUUGUUGUUUCUUGUAUGUUUGAUUCAUUAUUUGAUUUUGCUUUUACUAGUGUGAUUGGAUUGAGGCCUUUUGGCCUAACAAGUGGUAUCAGGCUGUGGUGAUUCCCAACAAGUGAUGUCAGAGCUAUAGUGAUUCCUAACAAGUGGUAUCAUAGCAUAGUUUGAUACAUGAGAAGAGGCAAGCUUAGAGGAACUCAAUUCAAUAAAAGAGUUUGAGUUCAAGUUUUAAAGAUUGAGGAUUGAUUUGCAUAAAACGUAAAGGCAUACAAGAAAAAAUUAUUAUGAGACUUCCAUUACAAGUGAAGCUAAGCAUGUCUCGUAUGAAGAUAGAUGAUUUGAUGAAAUUUAAGUCAAGAUGAAGAUUGUUAGGAAUAAUGACUUAAAUCCAAUAAAAGAUUUGAUUGGGAUUGGCUUGACAUUGCUUGAUGGAUAAGAAGAUUUAUAGAAGAAUAAUUCUAGGAGGAACAUGAUUCUUAAUAGGCAAGUUCGGCUUACAGAAGAAUAAUUUUAGGAGGAAAGAGAUUUUUAAUAGAUAAGUUUAUAAGCUUAUAAAUAGAUAGAGUCUCUCCAAGGUUAGGUAUGAGAAAAAGAUGUAAGAAACUUACAAGAUUUUUGGAGAUAGAUAUCCCAUAAGAGUAUUGAAGAUUUACAUCUUAUAGGUAUGUAUGUUUGUGAGUGGACUACAAGAGAUUGAGAAGGUCCAUAUAGUUAUGGUAUAUAAGAGUGGACUAGAAGCGAUUGAGAAGGUCUACAUAGGUAUGAUGGAUAGAUACAUAUGGGUAUGUGUUUAUUUGUGUUGAAAAAGUGCACAUAGGUAUAGAUUUAUUUAGGUUGAGAAUACUCCAUAGGACUAAAAGAGAUUGAGAGGGUCUAUGGGUAUUAACUAUUGAGUAGUUGAUAUGUUUUAAUGUAUAUUUGUAAUUCUCUAUAACUAAUGGAUUUUAUUUCUUGUCCGUGGACAUAGGUCAGUUGGACCGAACCAAAUUAAAUUGUUGUCUCAUGUAUUUGAUCAUUAUUUGAUUUCGCUUCUUUUGGUGUGAUUAGAUUGAGGCAUUUUAGCCUAACAAGUGAUAUCAGAGCUGUGGUGAUUCUCAACAAGUGAUGUUAGAGCUAUAGUGAUUCUUAACAUAGCCUCCAUGCAAAAACAUUAAUUUUCGAUGGUAUUUUCAUUUUCUAAAUUUUGCUCCAAUUUUUCCAUCAUUUGCAUCCUGUGCACUAUCUGCAUGAGGUUUCUGUGUUUGGGCCCUCCCCUAUUUUUGCAUAACAGCAUGGUAAGCACUCUUGAUACUAUAUUCUUUUGUACAUUCCCAGUUUUAUACCAAAUCAUCUGUGUUCAAAGUAGCCUAGUGGAAUGCUAUAGAUUAGUUUAGCAAUAUCUUUAUAAAAUGUUUGUUGGAUCAACUACCUCUUCGAUAGCCUACUUUGCCUCUCUAUUAAAUCCUCUAAAAAUGCAUCUUAUGAUAGUAUAUCUUGUUAAAAUGAGUAUGUUAAUACUUGGUCAUUAGGCAGCCACCUAUCAUGCCAAAUUUGAAUUUUCGCACCAUUCCCAACUCUCUAUCUUAAUCCAUCUUGAAAUGUUUCUCUGGCAGUCCAAAUACUUAUCCAUGUGAGAGAAGGUCGAGACCUCAAAAGUGCUUCUAAGAAAUCUACCUCGAGAAAUAUUUCACUUUUAAUACUUUAUAAACCAUUGACUUUUAUUCUUAAAUAGCUUCCUACCUUGCUUUCCCAAAAGGACUAAGUUGAAACACUCAAAAUUUUCGAAAACCCAUGCCUUAUUCAUUCUUGGAUCAGCAAACCUUAGUCCACUUUAGCUAGUAUAACCCCUUCUUAUCUUUCUUUGAGCUCCACCAAUAAGUGCUUAUAAUGCUAUUAGCUUUUUCACAAAAGCUUUCUGGAAGGAGAAAGCAAUUCAUUGCAUAUAUUGGCAUAGCCUAUAAUAUAGACUUAAUAAAUUAUUCUUUCCCUCCUUACGAGAGACACAUCUUGCUCCAAUGUCAAAUCUAUAUCUUUAGCCUAUUGAUUAGUUCCCUGAAAGAUCUUUUUUUUGUUUUUUUUAAUCAUCGAAGGAAACAUCUGAUUAUUUUUUAGUCCCGUAUAAUGUUGCGUAAGUUAUAUUCAUACAAAUAAUUAUUUCAACCUUAUCCGAAUUUGAGAUGAUGCCUAAUUUGAGUAUAUCAUUCUUAUAAUUUUGUAGUCAUCAUUGGCAGCUUAUUAUGAUUGAUAGCAAUUCCUUUACGUCAUACUUAUUUAAUUUCGCUCAACCAAUGGUAAAGCCUAAACCCAAUAUUCAUAAUUUUAUAAAGAGAUAUUACAUAUUAUUAUAUUAUCUUUUGUUUUCUCAUAAUUAUUUUUUUUGUAUUAAGUACUUCUUUCCUAUUCAAUUUAGGGGAAUAUCUACAAUUGAUAAAAAAGCAAAGAUAAAUUGGAUGUCAUUACUGGUAAAUGUGAAAUUUAUUUUUUUAUAUUGAGUUUGUUUAGAUAAAUAUUUUCUAAACCCAUUAAAUUUAUUUUUUAAGUACCUCGUUAAUUAGGAUAUACUGAAUGUGGAUAUUAUGUUAUUCGUUUUAUGAGGGAGAGUUAGUAUUAAUUUAUGACCACAUCAUUCAAGGUUAGUAUUAAUUUCAUAUAAUCGUAAUAUCUUUAAAAAAAAUAAAUUAUGUUCCCGUUUAUUAAUAUUUACUUUUGAUUUUUUUUAUAAUUGGAGAGUAAAAAAAGCUUCACGAAAGAUGAACUUGAAUAAAUUUGUAAAUAGUGGUAUGAAUAUGUGUUAUCGUUCACUACACCUUCAGGUUAGAGAUUGUUGGUUGGGUGUAAAUAUAUGCAUUUCAUUUUUUAUAAUAUUUUUAAUAUGCCAUGUUGAAUGGAUAAUUUAGUUUCUAGAUUGGGAUAUUGGUUUAAUAUUAUUAGUGUCAUAAUGUCUAGAUCCGGGGAUCUAUCGCUAGACAUUGACUUGAAAAAGUCACCACCAAUCUUUUUUAUCUAGGUGCGAUUGGUCACCUAAAGAAUCUUUCUUUUUAAGGAACACUUAAGUUUAAGGGUUCCUAAAACAAUAGGUUCAAGUCUAUUAACCAGAACAGGGUUCGGGAGUUCGAUUACGUGUGAAGAAGGUUAUAACACCCUCAUAACGCCCAUCAAAAGAUGGUACCGGCAUAAUUUUGUGUUAUUCAAUAAGCCUUAAAAUUUUACCAAGUAAUUAACUAUUGAAAAUUAUUCUCAAUUGACUCUAAUACUUUUAGCAAAAAAUUGAAAAAAUUUCCUCUCCUCAAGAGUAUGCAAGAAAACUACUGUUUCACUUAUAGAGGCUCCAUUAUCGGAUUAUUUAAAAAAAAAAAAAAGAAAAAAAUGACUGCUUUUAUGCAGGAAAAAUUGAUACUUUCAACUUUUCCUCAAAAAAACCUUUUUUGAAAAUUUAUUCUUAAGAAAAAUUGAUACUUUCAACUUUUCUCUAAAAUAUUUUUUUUUUGAAAUUUUUAAUUUUGAGAAAAAUUGAUACUUUCAACUUUUCCUAAAAAAAAAAACUUUUUUUGAAAAUUUAUCCUUAAGGAAAAUUGAUACUUUCAACUUUUCCUAAAAAAUAUAUAUAUUUUCAUUUUAUUUAAAAAAUGAAAAAAAAUAAAAGAAUAAAAAAUGAAAAUAAAUAAAAAUAGAAAAAAAUUAAACAAUCUCAAUAUAAUAAUAAUAAAUAAAUAAAAUAAUUAAAAAAAUUAAAAAAUGAAAAAAAAACCUGGGAACAGCUCGGCUUGCGGCUCGGUUCAGCUCGGCUCAAGGAAGAAAAACUUCUCGGAGAUGCGACUCCGGGUGUUGGCUCGGCUCGACUAACGGCUCGAAAAGGCGGGUCACGUGCUGGUCAAAAGCGAGUCGACGCUCAGGUCGGGUCGGAUCUCAGCAAAAUACGCGGAUCCUCUGGGUUACUUAACGUAGAAAAGGCGUUGUUUUGGGAGGGUAUAUAAGGCUGAUUCCUUCGUUUCUUCAACAGACUGAGCCUCCCCUCUCUCUCUCUUCCUUCCUUUUCUCUCCCUUCUCUCUAAAAUUCCUGAAGAACUUCAGUUGAAUAUCACCGGAUUCUAAAAAAUUCAUCCGAAUAUGGGUUUUAGUCGAAACUUCACCAGAAAGUUAGUCGAUUUCUGAAAAUCCUCAUCGAAAACUGGGCAGCUGGUCGAAAACUUCAAACUUGGUCGGAAUACUUAUCGAAAAAUUUAACCUCAUCGAAAAAUUCAACUGAAAUUUAGAAAUUUUCCAAAAAUUUCCCAAAAAAAAUACAAAAAAAAAAUCUCCAAAAGUUUCCCAUCGAUUCCUAAAGCUAUUCUAACGCCUCUAAACCCUUUUUCAUCUUUCAAAUCUCUUCUAUCUGCCUUUUUCUCUCAGUUAGUAACUUUUUUCUGUCCCUUUUCCUUUGAUCCGAGGGUCCUUUUAUAGGGAUUGAUUAGAAGAGUUUCUGAUCAAUCCCAACUCCUCUUUGGAUUGGGAUUCAAUUAUUGAAUCCAAUAUGGACUCUAAUUAAACCCCAAUCACGGUAGAAUUCUCUAAAUUUCAGCCAAAAAAGAAAAAACAAAAUAAAAAAUAUUAAUAGAUAAUUUAAAAAAAUAAUCAAAUAAAUAAUAAUAUUAACAGAUAACUAAAAAUAAAUACUAGAUAAAUUAUAAUAUAUAAUCAGAUAAAUAUAUAUAUAAAUAUUAACAAAAAAGAAAGAAAAAAAAUAGUAAUUAUAAUAAUAAGGAUAUAUAUAUUAAAUAGUAAUAAUAAAUAAAUAAUAAGUAUAUAAGAUAAAAAUAAAAGAAAUAUAUAUAUAUAAUAAUAAUAAAAUACAAAUUAAAAAAAAAUGGGCUUACCCAUUUGGACCAGGCCUAAUUGAUCUGGGCCUAGACCAAAUUGGGUGUCUACAGUUACCCCUCUUUGAACAUUUUCUGUGAAACAGAAAUUACGCAAAGACGUAGACACCCAAUCAAGACUCAACUCAAUCAUUUUUAUUUUUUAAGAUUUGAUCAAACUUCUCUAAGCAGAGGUUCAAUGACUUCGAAAAACAUAAACAAAGCUCUCUAAUCAGAGGUCACGACUUUGAAAUGAAUAAAGCUCCUCUAUUCAGAGCUCAACGAUUUUGAAAAUAAAUAAGUCUCUAAUCAGAGGUCAACGAUUUGGAUAUAAGCAAUAGAGCUCAUGACUUUAACAAAGUUCGACAAGUAUUUUUUGCUUUUUUUAGUUUUAUUGUUUUUUUGUUUUUUUUUGUUUUGCUUCUUUUAAUUUAAUCAAAGCUUCUUUAAGCAAAGGCUCACGACUUAUAAAAAUUAAAGCUCAUCUAAUUAGGACUCAACGACUUUGAAAAAGUAAAUGGCUUCUAAUGAGGCUCAUACAAUUUGAAAAGUAAAUGGCUCCUCUAAUCAGAGGCUCAACGACUUUGAAAAAGUAAAUGGCUCCUCUAAUCAGAGGCUCAACAACUUUGGAAAAUAAAUGGCUCCUCUAAUCAGAGGGCUCAACGACUUUAGAAAAUAAAUGGCUCCUUGAUAAUCAUGUCCAGAGGAGUUGAAAAUCGUGUUUGAAGGAAUUUCAGGAGAUUAUGCCCAAUGGUCUUAUAAAUCAACCCUGAUACUAAAAGACAUCCUAUUUCAAGGAUUAGAAACUUACCUGACAAGUUUCUUCUCAAAUUUAAAAAUAUCUUCACAUCUGUCUUCUUUAUGUGAGAUAUUGAAACACCUUACUUCUUGAAUUUAUACACUAUACUUUCUUGAAAGUAGUAUAUGCUAUGCAAUGCAUAUGAAUUUCAAUGCAUGCUAUGCAAAUGUUGGCCAAUUAAUUCCUAUUUAAUGUAUGGUACUCAAGUUUCUCAAGCUCUUUUCUUGGGCAUCAAGCCCUUUUGAUUCUUCAAAGAUCCAAUUACACUAUUCUUCUAAGACGAGCUAGUGUAGCUCCCAAUCAUCUCUUCCACUCACAUUCUUUUUGUAAGCAAUCUUUUUCCAAAUUCAAUGUCCUUAUCAAGAACUGAACAUCUCAAUCCUGCCUUUAUCACUCUUGACUUAUUCAAUGUAAUACAAAAAUAUUUCAUGCCAUUAUUCAUUCAUCAAUCAUUAUUUCAAACUCAAAAAGUAAGAAUACAUUUGCACAUUUCUUCUAUUGUAGGGUAUUAAGAAGAAAAAAAUAAGAAUGAUUGAGAAACAGUCACCAGAAACAGAUACAAAUAGUGAAAUAGAAUGUCUCUUAUUAGCAAAAUGUUGGCUAAUUUCGGUCAAGGAAGAAUUACAAGGAUAAGUAUGGGGACAAAGCCCAAAAUAAACAAUCAGAUAAUCAUGAUAACACAUCUCAAGAUUUUUUCUAAAAACCCAACCCUUUGAUGUAUUUAACAACUUGGAACUCUUUCAAAUUUGCUAGUCUCUAUGUCAGUGACUUUCAAAUUCGAUGCUGUAUUCUCCUUAUCUAAGCUGCUUUUUCAGGUUUUUAACUUAGACAAACCCCCUUAUGACUCAAACGCCCUUUUAGGGUUUUCGCCCUGAUGACUCUUUUUUCAUUCACUUUUUUUUCUUUUUUCAUUUUUUUUUCAUUUUUAUUUUUUUUUAUUUUCAUUAUUUUCUUUUUUUUAAGCAUAGUAUUUCUUCACAGCAUCAGAAUUUAUAAGAUAGGAUAAAUCAUUUUCAUCCAUCUCAAUCAGUAUCAGCGCUCCAUCCGAAAAAGCUCAUUUCACCACAUACGGUCAUUCCCAAUUCAGAGUCCAUUUUCUUUUACUAUCGUGUUGAAUUGAGAGGAUUCUCUUCAAGAUCAACUCUCCUUUUCGAAAGUAACGGGACCGAAUCUUCUUAUCAUGAGCUCUCAUCAUUCUUCUUUGAUAUAACUGACCAUGGCACAAUGCAGUCAAUCUCUUUUCUUCUAUGAAAUUUAACUAUUCAUAGCGUUCUCAAAUCCAUUCAGCUUCUUUCAACUCAACUUCUUUUAGAACCCUCAAAAAAGGGAUCUCUACUUUCACUGGUAGUACAACUUUCAUCUCAUAAACUAAAAAAAAUGAGGUUACCCAAGUAGAGGUGUGAACUGACGUCCGAUAUGCAUGUAAUGCAAAUGGAAACUUCUCAUGCCAAUCUUUAUAAGUCUCGAUCAUUUUCUCCAAAAUCUUUUUAUGUUCUUAUUGGCUGCCUCAACUACCCCAUUCAUUUUUGGAAGGUAUGGUGUCGAGUUAUGAUGCUUGAUCUUGUAUUGAGCACAUAUUUUUUGUAUCAUUUUACUAUUUAAAUUUUUGACAUUAUCUGAAAUAAUUCUCUUCGAAAGCCUAUAUUUACAAAUGAUCUCUCUUUUUAUAAACUUGUAAACCACAGAUCGUAUCACAUUCGCAUAUGACACUGCCUCUACCCAUUUUGUGAAGUAAUCUAUCAUCACAAAAAUGAAUCUGUGCCCGUUAGAAGCCUUUGGGGUGAUUGGACCAAUGACAUCCAUGCCCCACAUUGAGAAUGGCCAUGGUGGUGCCAUAACAUGUAAAACAGAUGGCGAAGUAUGGAUCUUAUCAGUAUAUAUCUGGCAUUUAUGGUAUUUACAAGCAUAGUCAAUACAAUCAUUCUCCAUCGUCAACCAGUAAUAUCCUACACUCAUGAUUUGUCUCGCCAUUAUAUGUCCACUGGUAUGUACCUCACAUAUUCCAUCAUGCACCUCUUUAAUGAUUUUUCUUGCUUCAGUCUUACUUACACACCUCAAUAAUACUUGAUCCCGACUUCUUUUGUAUAGAACAUCCCCAUCUAGGAAAAAGCUCAUAACCAAUCUUUGGAUGACCCUUUUAUCAUUUUUUGUUGCUUGAACUGGGUACUGUUGAUCCUUAAUAUACUGUAGGAUGUCAUAAUACUAGGGUUUUCCAUCUCCUUCUUCUUUUACAUUAGAGCAAUAAGCCGGUAUAUCCUUAACAUCUAGCUUGAUGGGUUGAAUGUCAAUAUUGUCAUUAAUUCGAAUCAUUACAGCCAGAGUAGCCAAUGCAUCUGCAAUCAAAUUUUCUUCUCGGAGUAAAUGGUCAAACUGGAUAUCUUCAAAUUGUUUCAUCAACUCUAGAAUGUGCUUAUGAUAUGGAACAAGUUUUGAAUCUCUUGUCUCUCAUUCUCCUUUCAAUUGAUAUAUAACUAAAGUUGAGUUUUCGAACACUUUUAAUGCUUUCACUCUUCUAUCUAUAGCAGCUUGUAAGCCCAUGACACAUGCCUCAUAUUCAGCAAUAUUAUUUGUGCAGUUAAAAUUUAACCUUGCUGUUACAUGACAGUAUUGUUCUUUUGGAGAGAUCAAAAUUAUCUCAAUUUCAUGACCCAAAGCAUUGGCAGCUCCAUCAAAAUACAUUCUUUAACAUUUUUCUUCAUGCUCCCCUUUUCCAAUUGAGAAAUAAUCAUUAGAUCUUUAUCAAAAAAUUUUAACUUUAUUGGCUCAUACUUUUUAGUAGCAUGAUCAGCAAGAAACUCUGCUAUAACACCCCAUUUUAUUAUUUUUGGCUCACAUAUAUAAUAUCAUAUUUCGAGAGCAUUACUUGCCAUCUAGCAAUUCUUCCAGACAAAGAAAGCUUCUCGAAGAUAUAUUUAAUUGGAUCCAAUUUUGUUAUGAGUCAUGUGAUAUGAUAAAGCAUAUACUGUCUGAAUCUUUUAGUAGUCCAUGCUAAUGCACAACACAUCUUCUAUAAUGAGGAAUACUUGAAUUCAUAUUCUGUGAACUUUUUACUCAGAUAAUAAAUAGCUUUCUCUUUUCGGCUAAACUCAUCUUGUUACCCCAGCACACAAUCUAUUGAAUUUUCACAUACUGUUAAGUAUAAAAUUAAAGAUUUUCCUGGAACAGGUGGCACCAACACUGGAGGGUUCGACAAGUAUUGCUUAAUUUUAUCAAACGCCUCUUGACAUUCCUCAUUCCAUUUUUCAGGAUUAUUUUUACGAAGAAGCUUAAAUAUGGGAUCACAUUUGUAAGUAAGCUGAGAGAUAAACCAAAAAAUGUAAUUCAAUCUUUCUAGAAAACUUCAAACUUCUUUUGGUGUGCUGAAAGGUGACAAAUUCUGAAUGGCCCGUAUCUUAUCUGGAUCGACUUCAAUUCCUCUUUCACUGACCACAAAGCCCAAUAACUUCCUUGACUUUACUUCAAAAGUGCACUUGGUUGGGUUUAAUUUGAGCUGGAAUCUUCUCAACCUCUCAAAUAACUUUUUGAGGCUGGUGACAUGAUCUUCAUCCUUAUAAGACUUUACAAUUAUAUCAUCUACAUAUACCUCUAUCUCUUUGUGCAUCAUGUCAUGAAAAAGUGUUAUCAUGACCCUUUGAUAUGCUUGCCCUAGUAUUCUUUAACCCAAAAGGCAUGACCUUGUAACAAAAAGUUCCCCACAUAGUUACGAAAGUAAUCUUUUUCAUAUCAUCUGUAGUCAUUUUAUCUGAUUAUACCCUAAAAAACCAUCCAUAAAAGAGAAAAUUGAAUGCCUAGCUAUGUUAUCUACUAGUGUGUCGAUAUGAGGUAAAGGAAAGUUAUCUUUUGGACUAGCCUUAUUCAAAUCACGAUAGUCUACACAUAUUCGUACCUUUUCAUCUUUUUUAAAAAUUGGUACUAUAUUGGCUACCCACUCUGGAUACUUAGCCACUUAUAAGAAACCUGCAUCAAAUUAUUUUUUCACCUCUUUUUGAUCUUUAGUAGCAUUUCAGGCUUCAUCCGUCUCAGUUUCUAUUGAACUGGCUUACAUUCUGGCUUUAAGGGUAAUUUAUGCUCCACUAUCUCCGUGCUUAGCCCUGACAUAUCCUGGUAAGACCAAGCAAAUACAUCUACGAAUUCUCGAAGUAAGUCUGCCAAUCAUUGUCUAUCUCUUGAUUAAAGUGAAGUGCCCAUUCUAACCUCUUUCUUAUUCUCUUCAUCUCUCAAAUUCACUAAGUCAACUAUCUCUGAGAGNNNNNNNNNNNNNNNNNNNNNNNNNNNNNNNNNNNNNNNNNNNNNNNNNNNNNNNNNNNNNNNNNNNNNNNNNNNNNNNNNNNNNNNNNNNNNNNNNNNNNNNNNNNNNNNNNNNNNNNNNNNNNNNNNNNNNNNNNNNNNNNNNNNNNNNNNNNNNNNNNNNNNNNNNNNNNNNNNNNNNNNNNNNNNNNNNNNNNNNNNNNNNNNNNNNNNNNNNNNNNNNNNNNNNNNNNNNNNNNNNNNNNNNNNNNNNNNNNNNNNNNNNNNNNNNNNNNNNNNNNNNNNNNNNNNNNNNNNNNNNNNNNNNNNNNNNNNNNNNNNNNNNNNNNNNNNNNNNNNNNNNNNNNNNNNNNNNNNNNNNNNNNNNNNNNNNNNNNNNNNNNNNNNNNNNNNNNNNNNNNNNNNNNNNNNNNNNNNNNNNNNNNNNNNNNNNNNNNNNNNNNNNNNNNNNNNNNNNNNNNNNNNNNNNNNNNNNNNNNNNNNNNNNNNNNNNNNNNNNNNNNNNNNNNNNNNNNNNNNNNNNNNNNNNNNNNNNNNNNNNNNNNNNNNNNNNNNNNNNNNNNNNNNNNNNNNNNNNNNNNNNNNNNNNNNNNNNNNNNNNNNNNNNNNNNNNNNNNNNNNNNNNNNNNNNNNNNNNNNNNNNNNNNNNNNNNNNNNNNNNNNNNNNNNNNNNNNNNNNNNNNNNNNNNNNNNNNNNNNNNNNNNNNNNNNNNNNNNNNNNNNNNNNNNNNNNNNNNNNNNNNNNNNNNNNNNNNNNNNNNNNNNNNNNNNNNNNNNNNNNNNNNNNNNNNNNNNNNNNNNNNNNNNNNNNNNNNNNNNNNNNNNNNNNNNNNNNNNNNNNNNNNNNNNNNNNNNNNNNNNNNNNNNNNNNNNNNNNNNNNNNNNNNNNNNNNNNNNNNNNNNNNNNNNNNNNNNNNNNNNNNNNNNNNNNNNNNNNNNNNNNNNNNNNNNNNNNNNNNNNNNNNNNNNNNNNNNNNNNNNNNNNNNNNNNNNNNNNNNNUAUGAAUAAAUAUUUUUGAGCUUAUACUUACUAUUAUUAUAACUGUCAGUAUGUAACAUGUUUAUAUUGACAGAUAUUUAUAUACCGUCAGAAGAAGUUUACCUAUAUUGACGGAUUUCUAAAGUGUUAGUGUAGGCAUUACCUAUACUGACAGUAACUAAAAAUUCGUUAGUAUAAAUACUUUUUACUUACAUAAUUUGAUCAUAAGUAUAUAUAAGUGUCAAUAUAUAACAUACUUAUACUGACAGAUAGUUAUAUACCAUUAAAAAAAGUUUAUCUAUAUCGACAAUUAUAUAAAAUGUUAGUAAAGGUGUGGUAUCUUUUGACAAUAUUAAAAAACUAUCAGUAAAAAUCUCUUUUAUUGACACAAUUUGACCAUCGGUAUAACUAAGCAUCAAUAUAUAAAAAAAUUUUGUAGUGAUUUUUUUAUGUUUAUAUGGCAUUGUACUAAUUAAUACAUAGCCUUUUCAUUUGUGAUUAGUUUUUAUUAAAGGCAUUUAGCAAUACUUGAUACUAUAAGUGGCCAUAUGUCAUUUAUCUUUUCAUUAGUGUUGUAAGAGCAAAUCCCUUUGUUAUAGAAGUGGCACCACUUUCACUAUAUAGGUGAAUUCAAUCAUAAAUGCUCUUGUAUAUAACAAUUCAAUAAAUUUAUUUACAUGUUAUGGGUUCAUUGAAAGCAUUAACUUAACCUUUCUCCCUAAUCAUAAGAGUUCAAGCACUUAACGUACUUGGGAUGUACAAUAUUUAGUAAUGUUUGUAGUUACAUUCAAAUGAUGUACUUGGAAUCCUUAAAACGUAAGACUUAGGAUCCAUUUGGUAGCCAUGAAAAUGUUUUCUAGAAGUCAUUUUCCAUGUUUUCCUAUGUUUAGAGUGGCAAAAAUAUUAUGGUAAAUAGAAAAUAUUUUCAAGUCAACAAAAAAUUAAAGCAAAACAUGUGAAAAUUGGCUUUCAUUUGUCUCCAAUGGAAGACAACUUCCACAAGUUUUCUCCUAACAAGCCCACUAAUCUCCAUCAAACUUUUAACUCUUUCAUAAUCACAAGUCAUCAUAUUUUUCACUUUUUUUAAUUCUUCUAUUUCAUUUGCUUUAGCAACUAUCUUUCUUUUUUUUUUUCAUGGGACUUAGGUAAGCACUGAAGAAUUAUUAAUUGUGUUAGCUUUUUUUCUUUUGCCAAAGCUUUGUCUCAGCUUCAAAUUUUCACUUUUGUUUCAUCUCCUCCGAAAAACCCACAAGCAUAUCCAAAUUCUUAUCUCUUUCCUUUGAAUUCUUUCGUAUCUUUUUUUUUUUUUUUUUCACAACCACCACCCCAAAGAUCUCCCAUAAUUUAUCAUCAUUUUCUUUUGUUUUAUAAUCUUUCUUUAAUUAUCCACAAAUAAUUCUUGUACUUUGAAAACCAAAAAACCACAAAAGUCUUUAGCCAAAGUCUAUUACCCACAAGAAAAAAACCUUCAAAUCCAAUGAUUUUGAUGGUUUUUAUCUAUUUGAAAUGGGUAUUUAUGAAUUUUUAUGAGUUUCUAAAAUUUUUAUGAAUAUGGAUGUGGUUGACUUUUGAGUUGAUGAAUUGUUCUUGUUAAAAUCAUGAAAAGCUUUUAUGAAAUAUUAUAAUCAAACUAUGGAAUAUUUAUGAAAAAUGUUAAAAUCAUAAAAAAAAAUUUCAUGAAUGCUAAUGGAAUAUAUUUUUGGUUAUUUUCAUCCAAAUAGCGGAAGAUAGUUAAAAUAAAAUUCUUCAAACAAUAAAAAAUAUUGUUUUCUAAAAAAAGAAUUUUCAUGGAAAAUAUUUUACUUCUGGAAGUUAUGUUUAGGUUACCAAACGAAGUCUUAACAUCUUACGAUUUUAUCUUCUAAAAAACGUCUCAUAAGCUAAAAAUGAUGUGAACAUUUAUACGGUAGGUCAAACUCUGGCACAUAUUCAAUGUGAGAUUCAUGGCUCCCUUCUUGGGAUUGUGGCAUCAUGUUCCACUACAACAAGGCUUUGUUAUCUUGAAUGACAUAUCGUUAAUAUCUUCAAAGCUGGCUUUGAUACCUAAUGCAAAGGUUCAUACCAACCUAUAAAGUAUUAUCUGCUUUAUCUAUUAGACAUCACUAAUCAACAGCUUGAGAAAAUACUAUACAAAGGUGUUCUAUUCGUAUACAAAAGAUUUUCACUAUACAAGGAAAAAAAUACCAUAUGAUAAUCAUAAUCGUAUUAUAAUCCUAGAUAUUAUUCUAAUUAUAAGAUUAUAAUCCCUAACACUAUGUUUAACUAAAUAAUUACAUAAUAUUAUUGAUCAUUACAUUAACACUCCUUCAAACUCAAUGUGGUAUUAUAUAUGCCAGCUUGAGUUUGUUAAUUAAUUCUUCAAAAUAACCAAGAAAAUAUUUUUUAGUAAAAAAAAUCAACAGUUUGAUUUGUAGAAGAUACAAAAGUCACUAUAAGAAAUAGUAUUUUUAGUGGAAUAAACAUUGUCACUAAAAGUGUAAAAUUUAGCCACUCAAAUUUAUAGUGACCAAUUUUAAAGUCGUCACUUGUUAUUACAAAUAACUCUGUAACUAUUGUAUUAGUGAAUGGGCUUAAGCUAGAAUGUAUUUUCUAGAAAUUUGUGAAGAGAUCAAAGAAUUUGUUAAGUGAUCUAACCUUUAUAGUUAGUUAUUAUGUAAUUUUUUUAUGAUUUAUAUUUUUUUUCUAAAUAUCUAAAUGUAUUUUAUUUCUUAUAAAAUGUGAAGCAUGCAUAAGGAAAAACUCAAGAGAGAGAAUCCUUAAAAUGUAGAGCAAAGACACAAAAGAAUUUCAUCAAUUGUUUAAGAUUAUUGAGCUUCUAAUGAGAUUAAUGUCUUAUAUUUUCAAUUUCUUUGGUCGAGCUGAACUUGGAUGUAAAGGUUGCUCAUGUAUUUGUACAAUUCUUAUUUUAUAAAAAAAGGCAAAAAAAAAAAAUGGGCAACUAUAAAUAUUAUAUUUUGUCUAAAAUUUUCAUAAUUUUUUUAGACAAUUUCAACCCAACUGAGUUUAAUUUUUUCCCAUUGCUUUUAUGGGUUUUGAAUUUGGGAUAAUUCAAUAUUAAAUUAAAGUUGGUUUUUGAAACUGCCGAAUUCAAUUUGAAAUCAAUUGGGCUUUUAGGUCUUUAAAUAUUUAAUUAAGCCUCCAGAUUUUUAUGAGAUUUUUUUAGUUUUUUUAUUUUCGGAUUUUGAAAAUUAUAAAUUGGACCUUUGCUUUGUAAUUGGGGCUUUUAAAUUAGUCUAACUAGAUUUUUAAUUUCAUAUGGGCUUUGGACCCAAUAAGAACACCGAAUUGUCCAAAAUUAUUUUUUUUUCCUUUCUUCAAACUUUCGCCUUUUUCUUUUUUUCCCUAUUUCUUUUAUUUUAUUUUCAAUAAAUUUUGAAGAUUUAAAAAAUAAAAAAUAAGUAAAACAAAAAAAAAAAAUAGAAAAUCUAAAGAGAGGUAAGAUUCUGAUUCAAAUGUUUUUGAAAAGCUUGAAUUUGAGAAUAAAGGAAAAUAGAAAUCAUUGAAAUUUUUUUUUAAAUACUUGGGCCUCUAAAACAAAAUAAAAGGAAAAAAAAAUCAGAUUAGAUCUCGUUCAUUCAAUGAAAAUCCAUGAUCUUUAACAAAAUAUCCCUUUAUAGUCAGAUAACAUAUAAUAAUUAGGGAAGCCAAUUAAAACAAUAAUCAAAAGCAAAUACACAACAAUGCACUAUAGCAUCCAGAGCCAUAAAAAAAAAAAGGUUCGUGAAAGAAAUUUUUGUGGCUGUGUUUUUUAGGGGUUCUGGGUUUAGAUGAUUUAGCUUUUAUUUUCGUGCAUCUAGAUCGCGAAAAGGACGAAAGAAACAAAGUAUUUUCCUAGUGGUUUUAGGCUUUCCAAUGAGAGUGAAAACAAUCUAACAUAAUUGCUAUAAUUGUUUGAGGAAAUAUUUUAUUAGAAUUAAAUCAUUCAAAAUCACUUCACAAAAAGUAUAAUUCUCUUACUAUUUAAAUUUAAUAUUAUAGCUAAAAUGUAAAUUUUAUUAAUUAAAUUCUUUAGUAUACACAAGCUUUUCAUAUUAUUUGUUUUAGAAAAUAAAUAUCAAUCAAUCAAAAGUCAAAAUUAUUUUGGUAAGUUUCAUUUCAUUUUUUGUUAAAAGUAAUUUCUAGCUUUGUUUUUAAUGUGAUUUAAUUAUAUAUAUAUUUUUUAUCUACGUUUGUAAAUAUUAGAAAAAUAAAAAUUAAUAAAAUAAAAAAGGAAAGAAAUAAAAUUAGAAUAAUUGACCAAGAAUUUUUAUUCUUUGUUAACGCAUCAAAAUGUAUUUAUUAGAAGAAAAUAAAAUUUUUAUAAUUAUUAUGAAUGAAAAUAAAUUAUCAUUUUUGUCAUUGAUUUUAAGUUGAAUUUUUAAUAUCAAAGACAAAAAUAAUAGUUCUGUUUCAUUUUAAAAAUUUUAAAAUAUUUGAUUUUUUAAUAAAUAUAUUUAAUAUGAUAACAAAGACUAAUAAUUCUAGAUUUAUUAUCCUAAAUUGUAAUUUUCUCUUAUUUUAUGCAAAAUUGAUAGAGCCAUAUUGACAUCAUUUUAAAAGGUUUAGGAAUAUCAUGAGACAAUUUAAAAUUUAGGAAUCAAAAUGUAGGUUUCAUUUCUUUCUUACUUUAUUAUUAUUUAUUUUUUUCUCCUAAAAAAAGAGAAAUUAUGUUUUUAGGUAUAAAAAGUAAACAAUUUUUUUAUGAAAUUAUAUUAUUAGAAGAAAUUAUAAUUAUAAUUAAAUAAUUUUUAAUAUACAUUAAUAAGGAAAACCAAUAAGUAAACCAAAUUGACAACUAAUCAAUCAAAAUAUAAUUUGAACAAAACUCACAUUUGGUGGAAUUUGAUCCUAAAGACAAAUAUUUGAAAGCUCAUAUUAUCGAGACAAAAUUUCAUUAGAAAGUAAAUAAUAUUCUUUAAAUAAGUAAAAGUAAAAAAUUAAUUUAUGGGAUAAUUUAUUUAAAAAUAUGUCUUAUUUCACAUUUUAAUAGAAAUAAUUUAUUAAUGGCUAAAUUCUAUCAACUAACAAAUUUAUAAUCAUAUAAUAUAAUAUAUAUAAAAUAUUUUUUAAGAAAAAUUUACAUUUUUUAUAUUUGUAUUAAUUUUAAUAAAUCAAGAUAAAUAAAUUACACAAAAAUUUAUUAAAACACAUAUUAAUUUAAAUUUUUUUAGAAUUCUCGAAUGUGGCUAUGCCACUGGUUCUAUCAAUAGGUCGGACCGUCCAUUAAGCUCGCGGGUUUCAAUUUGUUGAGGCUGGGCUUCAAAUAAAAUUUGUGAAGCUUGAAAAAAAUAUAGUAAUAAUGAGGUGCAUAAAAAAAUUAUGAGACCGCCCUCACAAUAACCUUCCUCAUCACCAAGUUAAAUUGCCAAGGGGGACAGCGAGCUUUACCGGUUCCUGAUUUUCAGCCUGUCGGUGAGAAUAGUUAAAAUGUAAAGGGCAAAUGUAUAAUUCCACCAUAAAACGUAGCCCCAUUCUGGAAAACUCUCACGCACUCUCACUCCUUUGUACCACUAUUUAUAAUUGCGAUCUAUCAGUUACUCCGUGUUAUUUCCCGCGGCUUUGAACGCGCCUUCAAUUUUGGCUUUUUUCUUUUUCUUUUUUUUAUUGUUAUUUUUAAUUGUCUCCUCUUCGCAUUCUGAAAAUCCAAAAAGAAAAUAAAAUUUAAUAUUAUUUAAUUUUUAUUUAUUUUUUUAGUUUUGUUUUCGGAGCCCAAUGUUGCAGGAAUCGUUGUGACUUUUUCACUAGUUAAAACUACCUGUGCCAGGUUUGUAUAAAUGAUGCGGCCAAUCCUUCUUUUUUUUGUUCAUCGAUUUUUAAAAAUUUGUUUUCCCUUUUGUAAAAUUUAAUUAAAAAUCUUCAAUCUUCUCAAGAUUUCAAUGCUAGUCUUCAGCAAUGAUCGAGUGGAUCUUGUUUGGAUUAAAUGGAAGUGAGGAGAAAGUGGAGGAAAGUGAGGGAAAAUAAUGAAGUUCUACAUAUCAACAACAGGGAUAGGGAGGGUUACGAUAUCGAACUCGAGUGGAGGAGGUGGAGGAGGAGGAGGAGGGGGGAGCAAGGGAGCGACGGUGGCAAUAACGGGGGCUGCGGCGGCGCGUGGACGGCUAUCGAGCCGGACUCUGUUGCCGGUGGUGUUAGUUUUGGGGAUCGUUUUGCCUUUCCUUUUCGUUAGAAUUGCCUUCUUGGUUCUUGAAUCUGCUUCUUCGUCUUCUUGUUCUUCCCCUAUCGGUAAUUUCCUAUAUCCUUUGUUCACUCCAAUUCGUUUUAACCGAAUCUUACUAUUUUUGCUUUUUUUUUUGUUUUGGAAAAUAAUUUUUUAGGGAUGCACUGCUUUAACGGUGUUGUACCUUUGGUUUGUAUCAAUUUUACUGUAUUUUUUUUACUUUUAAAUUCAAUAAAUUAUUAUUACUUUUUUGGAGAAUUGACCAAUGAGUUGCUUAUAUUUAAUCACUCUGCCGUUCGUUUAAGCACCUGGCCUAUGUUUUUAUUUACUUUAAAUGUUGAAAAUUUUAUUAUAUUUCAUUUUAUUUUAAAGUUCUAAUGGAUGAUUCUAAUUAUAUCUUUUUUUUUUACAUUUUUUAAAAUUAUUUUAAAAUGAAAUUUAUUAAAUAAUUCUUUUCUUCAUAUAUUUUUUUUCAUUUUUAAGUUUUUUAUUUGCAAAUUCUACUAUUUUUAAGAAUUUUCAAUUUUUAAAAAUAUUAAAAUUUGUAUAUUUGAAAGAUUUAAAAGUUUUUGAAUUUAUAUAUUAAAAAAUUUAAAAAUUUUUAUAAGAUAUUAUUAAAAUUCUUUUCCUCAAGUUAAAUGUAAUUUUGUUUUUAAUUUAUGAGGAUAUAAAAAUUUGAUAAAUUAUAUAAUUUAAUGAAAUUUUAUAUUUAAAAAUUUUAAAAUUAAGAUGAAAAAAAACUAAAUAAAUAGUUUUAUCUAAAAAUUUUGAAAAAAAAAAGUUUAAACGUGGAGAAAAAAAGUGCGUUUAAAAACUCUCAAACUUUUGUUGAAAGUAGUAAUUAACUGUUCAUUUUAAUGGCAUUUUGCAGAUUGCAUAGGAUGGAGGCUUUUUAGUGGACGUGACACAUCUCAGGUUAGUGUCAUUUUAGUGGUAUAAAACUUUUUUUUUUAUUAUAUGAGGAGAGUAAAAUUUUAAUAUAAAUAAAAGGAAAAAAAAAAACUCGAAAUCAGAUUUUUUUAUGUCUCCUCGAACGUCGUAGACGGUAUAAAAACUUUUAUAGUAACCGAUUUGCCCUUUAUAUUGUGAAGGGGAUUUUUCUUCAUUUCCUUCAUUUUAAGUUAUGAGAAAAUAGUAAUUACAAAAAUUAAGAAAAAAAAGGACAUAAUCUGAACAAGUCAUGCUAGAAUGUACGAGCAACUUGUAGUAUUAGAUUGCCACGUGUAUCAAGGGGAGGUGGGCAGGAUUGGAAUUUGUGAACUUUAUGGUUUUUUAGGAGAAAAUAUUUAUCCAUAAAAUAUUAAAAAAAAUACGAAACUUAAAAUAAUUAUGACAAUGAGGUGAAAAUGAAAAAAAAAAAAAGUUGAAUUUUUUGAAAUAAAAAGGAGUGUCAGGGGUCAUUGCUGCCACUUGGAUUUUGAUUAAAGAUUAGAAUUCCCUAAUUUUUUUUUUUUUUGCUAAAAAGAAAAAAAUCUUUUGUGUUAUAAUUCAAUAAUCAUUAAUUUUUAAUAUUUUAUUUCAAGCAAUCAAACUCUUAAGUUUUUAUUUUAAUUCAAUUAAAUCUUUAAAUAAAUAAAAUUUAAUUAUGUGAUAAAAUUUAAUAAAUAAAAUUUCAAAUUACAAAUAAUUGAAUUUUUAGAGGGAUUUGGAGGGAGAGGGAUAAAGAAAAUAAAAAAGAAAAAAGAGGAUAUUUUAUUUUAUUUUAUAUAAUAUAUAUUAAUUAUGUCAUUUAGCAAAUUUUUAUUUAUUUUAUUAAUAUUAUAUAAAAUUUUAUUUUAGUAGGUAAAAAAAAUUAAUGAUGGCAACUGUUUUAUUCAAAUAAAAACUUAAUUGCGUGUAAAUAAAUAUUGGAUAAGUUGAUUAAUUGUAAUAAAAAAAAAUAAGAGUUUAGAUAAAGUUUUAAUUAUAAUUCAUGGAUCUUUUAUGCCUUUUAAUUUUUUUUUUAAUUUCUGUCACCUUUUCCCAACUUAAUUUAUCUAUUUUUCUCGAACAAGACCCAAAUUUUGAUUAUGAUCAAUUUUGGGAUAAAAUCCAAAAUGAUAACGAUGUCUUGGUAAUUAAUUUGCAAAAUCAUGCCAGAUAUCUGUCAAUAUUUUAUCCUGACGCGUUACCUUCUUUUGGCGGGCGCAAGUUGCUCUAUACCUCAAUUCCUGAUUUUAAAAAGUGCCUAUUUUUCAUUUUAAAAGAAAUGGAAUUCAAUUUUUUUUUUGAACAUAUUUCCUAUCAUUUUUUUAUUAUAAUUUUAUAAUUAUUUAGUUACAUUAAAAUUUAUUUAAAAAUUUAUUAUUUAUAAAUGUGUGGUUUCACAUAAAUUUUUGAUAGAUUUUUAUAUAAUUUUAAAUUUUUAUUGAUUAAUUAUAUUAUAAUAAUUAUAAAUAUAUUUUUUUCUCUUAAGAGGAGUAUCGAAUCAUCCAUCUAUUCUUAUAAUGGAGGGUGGAUACAAUAGUAUUUUGUUUUUGUAUAAAAGAGAAUAUUAUGAUUGUUAAAAUAAAAAGAAUAUUAUGGCUUGAUAACUUUGAUGUAAGAUCUCAACUCAAGUUUCCAUCUCUUAAAUAUUGUUUCUUUCUUUGGGUACAAUGGGAAAUAUAAUAAUUGUUUCUAUAAUACUGGAAUUUAGGACUCCUAUGACUUGAAACUUGAAGGUUGGAGUUUACAUUAGUAAAAUAGUAGAAAAAAGAAAAGAAAUUUUGAUUGAAUUAUGGUACUAUUGUCCAAAAUUUUCAACUUGCAAGUCUAAGAAAAAUCAGUUUUAUCUUUUCAUUAUUUUAAUGCUUUUUCCUCUGUACACUUUGACAUUUUCUAUGCCCACAUAUUUGUACAUAGUAAAGGAUGAAACAGUGGGGACAUUUUGGCAAACGGGACAUCUAUUAUCAUCCAAAACGAAAAUACAUUAAAAGAAAAAAAAAAUUGAUAAAGAAAACAAAAUGUGUAAUGGUGGGGUAUACUUUUUCUUUUUUACAUUUGUUUUGUCGCUGUUUCAACUUAUUUCUAUAGUGGGCACUCAAACCAAAAGAUAUACUAUUAAAAAUGAUUUUGAUGAUUGAAAAAAAGAUAUAUUUCUAUUUUGUAGCUUUUUUUAAUUUUAUAUAUCUAGGACCUCUCAUAGAGUUUGAGAUAUAUUUAGAAAAAUCUACAAGGGGAAUGGCAUUUCGGUCAAAAACCCAAAACAUUUUGGAAACAACAAAAUGCUGAUAAUAAUAAAUGGAUCAUGAAAAAACAUAUCUGGAAGGAAAUGUCGUUAUUUCACUUCCAUUAAGUUGCUUUCUUAGACACAUGGCCAGUUGUCAUGCCAUCGUCAUAUUAUUAUGCUCGUCCACUUGCACGAAUUUUCUGCUGUCAAUACUUUUUACAUGUUUCCGCUAUGUUCUCAAUGAAAGCUAGAAAAAGUGUAGAGCUUUUUUUAGGUUUGGAACAAGUCAAAAAGGAAUCCUGUCAAUGAUGGUCCAUCAUCAUUACCUUUAGUCAUCAUAUAUGUCAACAUGGUUUAGUGAAAUCAACGGUUUGAAAGGCAUGUGCAGUAUAGUUGAUCAUAUCUGAUUUAGUUGUAUGGUUUUAUCAUGAUCAUGCAUGUACCAUAAAGAAACUCAAAGAAGAACUGACAAGGGCACUAAUGGAGGUGAAUGAUGGCAACAGUGUUGAAGGGGGAAUAAAGGGUUCCUUGGAGUCAUUCAAUGAGCUUGUGAAGGAGAUGACGUCAAAACAACGAGACAUCAAGGCCUUUGCUUUCAAGACAAAGGCUAUGGUAAUUUACUCUUACUCAUUUUGUUCUUGUCUUUAUAGAUCAAUUUAUCUCCGUUAUUGAUAAUGGGUUAAUUUUUUUUUUUUUCCUCUGAAGAAACUGGCUUAAUUCUGCCAAAACAUCCUAAGUAGUGAUUUGAAUUUAUAUUAGCAUUAUGCUCUUUAUUUCAUUUUAAUUGAUGUGAAUCAAAGCUAUGCUUAUUUCACCCUCUACCUUACUAACAAAAUAUAUAUGAGGAAUUUUUAAGAUUCUUAAAUUAUAGAAUCUAGACUUUAAUCACUCGCUACAUGAAUGUCUUCUUUGACUUUAGUAGUAAUUUCACAGUUUUAAUUAAAAUAGGGAAUGAAAGCGGAAGAAUGAAAGAGGAAAAAUGAAAAAUGUUCAAAAGACUGAAGUGUUGGAUUUCUUCUAGAAAGAGGGGAAGGACAAAUGGCAAUGUAGGCAAUCAGAGUUACGAAUUCUACUCGUUUAAAAAAGUUUGAAAGAAACUGCCAGUGUAAUGUGAGACCCAAAUCAGGGUCUCAGAUAUUAUGUUGUUAAUAGGUAUAUAUGGAAUGUGCACUUUUUGACUUAAAAUGGAUAAAACUUGACACAGGGUACUGGGACUAAGCAAUUGAGACACAGGGAAAAAUAGGGCAAAAAAUUAAGAGAUAAAAACAUAUGCAUUACCCAUACUUUACUGUAGGACAUGAGGACAUCAUAUGCCCGAUCAUUUUCAAUGGAUGUAAAUUGUUAGAUUGGCUUGUUGGAAGCACAGUUUUAGAGUAACUUAAUGAAUUUUCUUAGAGCCAAAAGCUUGUUUGAUCAACUAAAAGUUUUAUGAACUCAGAAGCCAGCAGUAGUUUUUUAAUUACCAAGAAGAUUACAGUUGCAUUCUUCAUAAAAAAGGAAAAUUGGGUCAUGAACUUUCAAAAGGAUUCCUAGGGAUUCUUAUAACUCCAGACUAAUUAAAUUUGGAUGCCUUUACAGUCUGAAAAUUACAUAUGGUAUAUGCAUGCAUGUGGACAAAGAUGGUGGGUUGCUCUUGGUUUCGGACUUUUGGAUGUUCUAGGCCAUUUUAUCUUGACCUAUGUCUUUAUUGGUUGUUUGUCAAAACAUUAAGAUGUAUAUUGUCAUUAAAGGUCACGUAACCUUUUGGGGUUCUACCAGAUAUUAUUUCUCAUUCAAUGAGAGAAGUUUUGCUGAUGUGUGGCAAAAGCAUUCCUCCAACAUGCAUUAGAAUUUCAUCAUUGAAUGUUGAGAAAGUAUGAAAGUUGCCAAGGCAUCUUUCCCAUGAAUUUACCCUAAAUAUUAUUUAAUUAGGGCUGCCAUGUGAGGACCAUCUCUCUUGAAUCGUAAAACAUACAAAAUUUGAUUAAGCUAAUUGAUGAUGAUGCAUUUUGUCCACAAUUAGCCAAUGCAACUAUUUAAGCAAAUUGCUUUUGGUUUUUAGCUAUUUUUGUUUUAUAUUUGUCCUUGUUUAUUUUUAUUUUUGUUUUUCUUUGGGAGAGCUAUUUCUAGUUCCUGUGGAUUUGUUUCAAGAAAUGAGUGUUGGGCAAAGAUCGAGACAAGAACUCAGUGUGACAAAAAGAUAGAUUUAGAUUAAUAAUGACCUCAAAAUACCUUUUUUAUAAAUUGUUUGUAAGCAAUACCUAAUUGUUUUGAUAUAGAUAAUUAUUGCCUCUUAUUCCUAGUACAAGUGGUACUACCAUAUCGUUCUUUUUCUCUUUAACACCGGCAUUUUGACAGACUUCUACAUGUGAACUAGAUAAAUAAUUCAUAUGGGGUAAAAGUUCAUAUUUGUAUCAAUGGUGUUUCUUUUAUUGAAAUCAAUAAGUAUAUUUUAUAACUAGUAAGUUUGUAUUAUUUGAAGUGAGGAAAUCUUUAGAAUAAAACUAUUUUAUUCUUUUAUAUUUUUUUUAUUACAAUGCUAGAAUUGCAUGAAAAUAUAUAGGCUAAAGAUUGAAUAUUCUCAAUCUUAAAACUCAAGAUUUUAUGCAUUAAAACAGCUAAUUAAAUGAGUAAUUUACUCUUUACACAUAAUAAAAAAAUAUAGUGGAUUUUGUGUAAUUACUUAAAUCACUUCUUAUUUUAAAAAUAAGAAACUUAACUAAAAUAGAUAAAGUCAACUAAUCAAGUACUAAUGAAGAUUAGAUUUCCACACUCCCUUUCAAGCUGGGUGGCAGAUGUCAAUCAUGCCUAGCUUGGACUUCAGAUUCUCAAAGUUGUUCUGAGAGAGAGCCUUAGUGAGUAUGUUUGUAGUUUGAAGGCAUAUGGGAGUAUAAACUUAUCUAACAAUUCCUUCCUCUAUCUCCUCUUUAAUGAAAUGAUGAUCAAUCUCCACAUGUUUAGUCCUAUCCUGAUGAACAAGAUUUUUGCCAUACUUAUGGCAGCUUUGUUGUCGUAGAAUAUCUUCAUGGAUUCUUCUACAAAGGUUUUUAACUCCUUAGUAACCUUUUCAGCCAAAUUGCCUCGUAUAUAUCAUGAGACAGCUCUAAGCUCAGCUUCCGUGCUAUUUCUAGCCACCACAGAUUGAUUCAUGCUUUGCCAAGUAACCAAAUUUCCCCACACAUAGGUACAAUAACCAAUAGUUGAUAAGGCAAGGGCUUUGAAAUUUCAUAACUCGAUAAGGCAUUCUGUUUAUUAGAUUUGUAGUAGUAAGAACAGCCUUAUCCUAAAAAUGCUUAGGUACAUGGGCAGCCAUCAUGAGGGAUCUUGCAACUUCUAACAAAUGUCGAUUCUUUCUUUCAGCAACGCCAUUUUGUUGAGGAGUGUCGACACAUGAGUUUUGAUGAAUUAUAUCAUGCUUCAUUAGAUAUGAUCCAAGAAUUGAAUUGUAGUAUUCUCUCCCAUUGUCGGUUCUCAACACUUGGAUUUUGAUUUUGAAUUGAGUUUGGAUCAUAUUGUUGAAGUUUUGGAAUAGCUAGCCGACUUCUGAUUUUACGUCGUAAGGAAUACCUAAGUAACCUUGGUGUGAUUAUCAAUUAAUGUGACAAACCAUCUGGAGCCAGUAAUGUUAUUUACUCUUGAGGGACCCCAAAUGUCAUGUGUAUCUUGAAAAAGGAUGGAAUGGUUUGUAAGGCAGAUUAGGAUAUGUGGUACAAGUAUGUUUGGAUAGUUGGCAAACUUUACAUUGAAGGUUGUUAGGAUUUUGAUUGAAUAAUGAGGGAAACAACUUUUAAGGUACAAAAAAUUUGGAUGAGCUAACUGAUAGUGCCACAACAUAAUAGUACUAUCUUUAUUAUUAGUGGAGGAUGAAACCAUACAAGAGAUCUUUUGAUAUUGUCUUUCAGAAUCAUUAGCUCUUAGGAUAUUGAGUCUUGCACCCAUCUUAGCAUUGUCAAUCAUCUUCCUGAAUCCAAAUCCUAAAAUUCACACAUAUUUGAAAGAAAUUUAGUAACAAACUUAAGGGUUCUUGUAAGUUUACUUAUAGAUAGUAGAUUGCAACUUAGAUUUGGGAUAAACAAAACAAAAUCAAGUGUUAUCUCUUUAGAAAUAAUAACAGAACAUGUAUCGGUUACUUUUGAAAGUGACUCACCGGCAAUUCAAACUGUGAAGUUUUCAUAACAUGGAUUGUAUUUACUAAAUACAGAUGCAUUCCUAGUUAUAUGGUUUGAAACUUCUGAAUCUACAAUUUAUAAAUUUGAUUUUUAUAGUUUUACACUCAAGGCACUUAGAAAAUUAUCUUUUUGUGGUAGAGAACCUGUUCGAAUAGAAGUGGUAAUGUUCUGUAAUGAUUGAGAAACACUAGCUCCAAGGUUAGAGGUAACCUUCGACACCGGACUCUUCUUUCCGUUGGCCAUAUUGGACUCUGAGUGAAAAUUUUCAACGGUUCAGAUCGAGCUUUGAUAUCAUGAAGAAAUCUCUAAAAUAAAACUAUUUUAUUCUUUUAUAUUUUUCUUAUUACAAUGCUAGAAUUGUAUGAAAAUAUAUAGGCUAAAAAUUGAAUAUUCUCAGUCUUAAAAUCCAAGAUUUUCAUGUAUUAAAAUAACUAAUCAAAGAAAUAAUUUACUCUCUACACAUAAUAAGAAAAUAUCUAAUGGAUUUGGUGUAAUUACCCAAAUAACUUCUUAUUUUAAAAAUAAGAGACUUAAUUAAAAUAGAUAAAGUCAACUAAUCAAGUAAUAAUGAAGAUUAGAUUUCUUUGUGAAGGAAAGCCUAUUCUAUUCCAAGUUAGAAAUAGCUAACUUAACCAGCAACAUGGACUUUCCCAUUCUGUCAAAUGGUUGAGUUAAUGUUGGAUUUAAAAGUGUUCUAGAGAGCACUGAUGAUGAGACUUUACGUUUAGCAUUACUCAAUUGUGUGGCAUCAGAAUUUUUGUUCUAACUAGUUCUUAUAUGUUGCGGCAGUCCAGUUGCCUCUGUUGACUUAUGUCAGUAUGAAAAAGGUUGUUUCACCACAUGUUGUAAGGUGUUUGACCUCAAAAUGGAUAAGCUUACAGAGACUGCAUUUAAUUAUUACGCUCAUGUGCUCGUGUCCUCAUGUUCUGAAAUAGCUGCAAACUUACUUGAUCCUAUUUGUUGCUGGCAAUCCAUCAAAUAUGAUUGUGUGUAAUUGAUCUUGAACUUUUUAUUAGGUUGAGAAUUGUGGCAUAUUUUACCUUCCUUCAUAGGCUACUAUUUUUCAGGACUUGAGUUAAUGCUCACUAUCAUGCCCAUUUCUUUCCUGUUUCUGACACAUCCAUUAAUUGUUUGUGUUUACUCAUGAAUUACCAGGGAAAUUUGAUUAUCAGUGUCUAACAAGUAAUUAGGAAAGAAAUAAUAAUAAAAAAGGUCCUUGCUAUUCUUGUCAUUGGUCAGAGUCCCAUCACCAGAGAAAGAUCUUAAAAUUUGUAUAAAUGAUCAAUUGUUACCUAGUGGAAUAACAUCAAUUGUGUUCUACUUUCUCUUAGGAACUUGGACGAAACACCUGCAUUACAAUGUCAUGCAAUUUGAUAUAUUUUUGUUUCAAGCCUUUGAUUCUUCUGAAUCAUGAGGAUGCCCAAGUGUUAGGAAUAAACAAUUAUUUUAUCAUAUAUAUUGUUUUCUGGUUCGAUGCUACUCACUAAACAAUGUUUUUGGGUGUGUUUACAUAUUUUCUUGUGGUUUGUAUUUGCUUGUAUGUUCUUUUGCUUGUACAUGGAAUUAAUGCUUUUGAUUACAAUGAGUAUAAGAAACUGUUCUGUCUAAUGAAUGGAAACAACUGAAAUGAGGUGUCAUUGAUAAUUAUAUAUUUUAAGUCAUUUGUUCAAAUGUAACUUGCAAUACGUGUAUCCGCUUCAACAUCCUGUAAUAAAACAAAGUACUUUCUUUUUUUAUUUCCAGCUAUUAGGUAUGGAGCAAAAGGUGCACUCAGCAAAGAAGCGUGAGUUAAUGUACUGGUAUUUAGCUUCACGGGGUGUCCCAAAGAGCCUACAUUGCCUAUGCCUGAAAUUGGCAGAAGAGUAUACUGUAAACGCAAUGGCCCGUUCUCAUUUACCUCCACCUGAACACGUUUCUCGUCUUGCUGACACAUCCUUUCACCAUGUUGUGCUUCUGACUGACAAUGUCCUGGCCGCCUCUGUUGUCAUAUCAUCUACAGUUGAAAAUGCAGCAAAUCCCGAAAAUAUGGUGUUUCACAUAGUAACAGACAAGAAAACUUACACCCCAAUGCAUGCAUGGUUUGCAAUAAAUUCUCUCAAAUCAGCAGCCGUGGAAGUUAAGGGAUUACAUCAAUAUGAUUGGUCUGAGGAGGUGAAUGUUGGAGUUAAGCAGAUGUUGGAAAUUCAUCGCUUGAUCUGGAGUCAUUCCUACAAUAAUCUGAAAGAAGAAGACUUUGACUAUGAAGGAGAGAAUAAAAAUUGUUUGGAGGCUUUGAGCCCUAGCUGCCUUUCCCUUAUGAAUCAUCUUCGCAUUUAUAUCCCUGAAGUAAUUACUCUAAAAUUUGCUUUGAAUUUUCUGAUAAGCAAUUUAUUCUCAACCUUAAAUUUCAGCGGGCAUUGAUAUUUUCUUAACUUUCAUGGGUUGCACAGCUGUUUCCAGAUCUCGACAAGAUAGUAUUCUUGGACGAUGAUGUUGUAGUACAACAUGACAUAGCAUCAUUGUGGAAAUUGGAUCUCAAUGGGAAAGUUGUUGGUGCAGUUGUUGACUCAUGGUGUGGCGACAACUGUUGUCCAGGAAGGAAAUACGAGGACUACUUGAAUUUUUCACACCCAAUAAUUUCAUCCAACCUUGAUCAAGAUCAUUGUGCAUGGCUUUCUGGUAUGAAUGUCUUCGAUCUUGAGGCUUGGAGGAGGACCAACAUCACAACAUCUUAUCAUAAAUGGUUGAAACUUGUAAGUAAAUUGUCGGUCGGCUGAUCAGCUAUUUGGCUAAUAUUGCUUUAAUGUCCAUUUUAUUGCAAAUCAUCACCUAAAUUCAGUGGAUAAAUCAAAAUUAAGGAAACUGUAUUUGUUUAUAGACUUCAAGUUGCACAAAGCAUUUUGCUUAUCCCUAUUGACACCUCUACUGCUUGGCAUUGCAUUUUCGUACCGCGUAGCAUGGUACUGAUUGAAAUCUUAGACCUGGCAAUUGGUGUAUUUGUGUUGUUAUCAAUGGGAAAAAUGGAACAUUUUUAUCUUAAUUGUAAAAUGAAUUAAUUCCCUUUUUGUUAGUUACCGUAAUCCAAUAAAUAAUCUUUUUACAGAAUCUCAAUUCUGGAUUGACGCUAUGGCAACCGGGAGUACUGCCACCAACCUUGCUUGCUUUUGAGGGUCAUGUGCAUCCUAUUGAUCCGUUAUGGCAUGUCGCUGGGUUAGGCUAUCGAUCCUCGUCUGCUCAUGGAGAGAUAUUGGAGGCUGCUGCUGUUUUGCAUUUCACUGGCCCUGCAAAGCCAUGGCUCGAGAUUGGGUCUCCAGAAGCACGAAGCCUGUGGAAUAGACAUGUAAAUUUCUCAAACAGCUUUAUUCGGAAAUGUAGAAUAUUGGGGGUAGGAGGAUGAAGUUCUCUCACAUUUACAUACUCAGUUUCGGAACCAAACCGGCAGUAACUGUAUGGAACCAGAGGGAAGAAGGUUUUGCCUUCAGUCUCUGCUUAUACUUUCAUAGCACGACAUUGGUAGCUUUUCAUGUCCAUAAUAGAAAAUAGAUGAAGGUACUUCCUGAUAUACAAUAGAGUAAGAAUCUUAAACCUUCAAGGGAUAAUAGUGAUUAUAUCGUUGUAGCUCUUCAACAAAAUUGUAAAUUACUUUAGUCAGCUUAUUGACAUUACUUUAUCUCAAUGGUGAAACUCAAUUUUAAUUUUUUUUUUAAAAUAUGUAUUUUUUCCAGUUCAGAGUCACACUUAACCCUCUUGCUUCAGAACUCUUAGUCGAAUGAAUCUUGACAAAAUAGGGGUUGAAUUAAUUUUUUACCAAAUUAAAUCGAUCAGGCGAUAAGGUGAGUUUUAAUUCAAAUGAGUAGGAAAAAGAGCGAAAGUAUGAUGAGUUUUGGGUGUUUCCUAUGGAGGCUCUUCCAACGGUUGCAUCCUCCAUUUUAGCAACUUAACUUAACUCUAAUUUUGGCUCAAAGCAGCGGCUGAAGAAAGUUAUUCCGCAAAAUCCAUUUCUGAUUCCUUGGCAGUUUAGCUGCUGCCAAUAUUUUUCUGACUAACCACUAUAUCCAUUUUACUACCACAUGGAGUUCUCUCAUUCGUCCAACUAAGCAUCAACUUGGCUGAUUUGGUUGCUGCGUGCCAUUGUCAUCUCACCAUUCUGUCAUCGAAAUUUUAGUGACUGGCAUGUCUUUAUCAUGCCACAUGUCAAAUAUUGAUUAAUUGAUAAAAUUUCCUGCCAUAUUUACUGCAAAGUCAGCCUUCUAGCCACGUCUGCUUUGUUGCCGGGUAAAUUUUAGUUGUCAAAUAUUUUUUCCUUUGAGCCAAAAAAAAAAAAAAAGGAAAGAAGAAGAAAGAAAGGUAUUUCAAUUGGAAACUCGCCAUUUUUACCGGCCCAUCCGAUCAGCAUUUUUUAGUUGACAUUUGCUACGAGAUAAUCAUUUUAAAAAAUAAAAUAAUUUAUAUAUGAUAAUUAAAUUAUUAUAUUUAGUAAAUGAUUGAUGAUUUUAUGUAACGAUAAUUUUGAAUCAUUAAAAAUAAUCAAAUUAUUAUUUUAGGAGAUAAUUUAAUUCUCAUUUAAAAGAGUAAAAAAUUUUUAUUAUAAAGAUGAAAUGAUAUAUAAAAUUAAUAAUAUUUAAUAUUAUUCAUUUAAUAUGUGAAUAAAAAUUUAUUUUUCUUAAAAUUAUAUUCAUUUUAUAUUAUAAAUUUUUAUAUUUUCAAACUAAUAUUUAUUAUAAAAAGUUGAAAAAUAAAUUGUAUAUUUUUUAUUUUUUAAUAUUUUAUAUAUAUUAUAAUUAAUCAUUUUGUUUUUCUUUUAUUAUGAUUUGAAUAUAUUAGUUUUAUUUUCUAAUUAAUUUUUUUACAUAAUUUAUAUUAUAGUAUCAAUAUAUAUACGAAAUUUAAUAAUUUAAUAAUAUUUUAUUAUAAAAUAAAUAAAAUAUUACUAAUAUUUACAAAUUAUUAUCUUUAAACAAUAUUAAAACCAUUAGCUUGUGUAACUAUUACAAUAUGUCAGAUUAUUUUUGUACUUUUAAAUAAAAUAAUGUUUAAUUUUUAAUAAUAACAAAUAUAAUGAUAUUUAAUUUUUAAAAAUUAAUGAUUAUUAAUUAAAUAAAAUGAUUUCAAAUCACAAAUGAUAAAAUCAUCUUAAUAAUAAAAUCACCUCGAUAAUUACAUUAUCAGGAUAAUCUUACAAAAAAUACCAAAUAAUACCUUAGAGUUUGAAUAAAACUCUCAAUUAAGUCAAUAAAUUUUGAGGGCUGCUCAAUCCGUAAUUUCCUUUUUAUUUUCAAAUUUCUUUCUAACUCUGCCUCUCUUCUCUUCAUCUUUACCUCUUUAUCGUCAUGCAUGGUUAAUGGAAGCCUCUACGAUGGAAAUUUGAGAAAUUUAUGAAUGGUCAAUUUUUAAAAAAUUCUUUAAGUGAAUAAUUUUUUUAACAAAAAGUUUUUUGUCUUCUUUUAAUCAUAAUAUAUUAAAACAUUGAAAAUGAUGAUUAUUUCAAAAUUUAAAAAAGGAGAUUUUCUAAAGAAAUUUAAACAUGAAAAUUUUCUUUAAUAAAAAUGAAUUCUUUUAAGGAUUAUUAUAGAAAGUCUCAAGUAUGCAAACAUUUUUCAAAAUUUUGUUGAUGACAAAAGAAAUUAAAAGAAUUAGAUUUAAAUAUUAAAUUAAGAUCAUUUUUAUAAGUUAAAAGGAUAACAUAUAAUUAACCCAUAUCUUUUUUUGAAUGGAGGAUGUUAAUACUUUUUUCACAUAUAACAGUAUUUUCAAACUCAAUUUUAGUUUUGAUAACUCAAAAAAAUUAUUGAGAUUUAUUAAAAAAUUAAGUUUUCUUAUGCGAUCAAUGACAUUUAAAAAAAAUAUUAAUGACGACUCUAUCUUCAAAAUCUUUGAAACGGAUGGACUCUGGUUUGCAUGUUGUGAUAAUACAUAAUCAAGAUAAAUUCAUUAAGCUAAAUGAGAAAAUAGUUAGUACACUGUCACAAUGAGACAAAGGAAAUGAAAGAUAAAAUGCAUAAAGAAAGGACAAAAAUAAAAUUUUAAUGUCUUUGAUUUUAUUUCUAAAUUGUUUUAAUUUAAUUAAAGAUAACAAUGAUAAUUUAUAGGUGAAAUUUAAUUGUAUGACCUAUAAAUCUUUGAAAUUUGAUGGGCUGGAAUUUGGUUAUAUCUCUGAAUCAUUUGUUAUUUAAUUAGAAAAAAAAAAAAGAUGAUUUAUAGCUGAAUUCUGAUUGGUUGGACUAUGAUAAGUCUUUGAAAUUUGAUUGGCCAAACCAUUUGUUUUCAUCUUGACUUGUCAUGAUAAAUCAUGAAUUAAUUUCUUUAGCAGCACUAGAAAAUUUUAAUUGGUAAAUUAAAAAAAAAGAAAGAAAAAAAAGCCAUAAGCCACUUUAUAAAUAGUCGAAAAUUUUCGCUAGGAAAUGAGAUUCAAAGCAAAGAAGCCCUUAACAAAUCAUAAGUAUCAAACACAUAUCAACAAAUGGUAAGACUGCAUCUGUUAAAAAUAUGCUUACAUUUGGACAUAAACAAACAUGACAUACUGGUUCCCCUUGAACUGUCAUAUUACAAGCAUGGCAAUUUUACCUAAUAAUGUGAUUGAUUUAUAUUUCCUGUUUUAUAAAAGCAUAAUUUGUUACAUAUAUCCAAGUUGAUGAAGUCCAUGCGAAAUCAAAUAACUAUAUGUCCAGAACUGCUUAAUCUAGUUUUUGAGUUGAACAAAUAUUAGAAACAGAAGUGAAGGGAUGAAAGAUUAAACAUGUUAUCUAGUGUUUUGGAAACAUAUAAUACAAGAAUAAUCCAGCACUGAAAAGGGAACAGAAUCCAGUACUAAAAAUCUAAGUUCCUUGCUUAAGCGAUGAACAACUAGUUUUCAACUAUUUAUAAACUAUAUAUACUUCCAAGCUUAUAUGCUUAACCAGAGACAAAGUUGGUAGAACAUUUGUGACUGCUUGCAUUUCAGCUGCAUGAAAAACAAAUAUGCAUCAGAAUAUGAACAUAUUUUUAUGUACUACAUUAUUUAUGAAUGAAUUUAUAUUUGAUGUACUAUUAAUGAAUAGAUGUUAUAAACUGUUGGUGAAUCACACAAUAAUACUUUAUAAAAAAAAUGCAAUCAAUCCUAACAAUAUAUUUAAAAUUAAUUUUUUAUGAGAUAUCAUUAUAUAAUUCACUUUAUAAACUGAUUGAACAUCAAAUAUAAAUCCAUAUAUGAAUAAAAAAAAUGAUCAAGUAGCAUUAAUUAUGUUUUCAAUACACGUGAGAUGCAGUCAUGCAGAAUCAAAUACCUAUUAUGAAGUAUGAACAAGAAAAAAUGGAAAGAGAUGAGGGAAUAGCCCCAUACAUUUGAGUACUGUUUAAUGCUUCAAAGUUAAUAGUUAGAUAAUAGCAUAUAACCUUUUCCAAUUUUAGGAUUGUUUCCCAAUGUACCAGUAUUGAUUGAUCCAAACACAGCCGAUCCGACUUAAGUUAAAGAGUGUUGCAUUUUUAGUUUUCACCAUUUAUUUCCUUAAUUAUGACUAUAUGCACAUGUUGUCAGAAUAUUGUUCUCUUCCAUAGUGAUUAUGCAAAAGCAUAUUAUUUUGAUGGGCCAAAUCUAAUCUUGGUUAAUUGUAGAUGAAAAACCUUAUACAAGUUGGAGAGCAGUUUGGUCUUGGUUUGGCUCCAGCUGGAGGUUUACAGGCAGAAAGUUCCGAUUAUAGGGUUGUGAAGUUGCAGUCUGGUACACAGACCCUUGUAUCAGGUUUGAUUGUUGUUGCGCUCUUUCAUUUUCUGCUAUCUGCAUAAAUAAAUCAUCCAACAUUAUUUUCACUUAUGAUUAAUAUCUAACUCCUCUAUGUAUAUGAUUGAAAGAGGCAAUCAGAGAGAGAAUACCUUUGCUCGCAGGUACAUGUUAUCAUUCUGCAGCUCAACUUCCUACAAAACAUGCACUUACAAUUUGUUAAUAAUAAGAAGAGGAUUUUUACCCUCCUCUUAUUAACAAUAAAGAUAUAAUAGUAGGGAAGAACAUUUACCCUCUUUUGCAUGAACUCAAUUUCUGCAACUAGUAAUUCGUUCUGGUAGAGUUUAAGAGUGUCAGCAAAUUAUCAUCAAUAUAACAUAUAUAUAUAUAAUAUAGAUAAUAUAAUAUAAUAUAUAUAUAUAUAUAUAUAUUCUACCACCCCCAAGGUGAAGGACAAAACCUUUUUGGAUCUGAUUCUACUAAUUCCUUUCUCGAGUCUUCCCUCCAGGUUCUUUAGUUCCUUGAAGGUCAAAGAGCUAAGUGACUCACCAACGAUAUGCCUAAAAGAAACAUCUUUGAUGAAACUUUUCCAGCAGAGAAUGAACAAAAGGAAACAAAACAACCAUUGAUAACAUCUUUAAGUGAGCUUGAAAAUAAAAAAUUAUAUACGCAUUGAUGUUACCUGUUCAUGUUCUGAGCAUCACGAAUUUGUCGUCGGAGUUUCGUGGCUUCUUGCUGGUAAAACUGAUGAGUUGAUUUUUAAAUAGAGAUAGUAUCAGAGUUAAGUAUCAGUUAUUUGACUGUUGACCAAAUAUAUAUAUAUAGUUAGAAACAGAAAUAGUAAAAAUGAUUAUGGAUAUAGACUUAUUUAUAUUUGAUGAACAGGUAUAUCCUUUUUACGAAUAACUGUAUCAAUUUGUUUACAAUAGUGGAUAAGCUUUUUUUUGUUAUUAACUGCUAUAAACAAAAUAUUUAAGUCGUAUUUGGUGCAUAAAAUGAUGAACAAGAUAAAAUGAUAAUUAUUUUAUAUUAUGUUAUUUUUUAUCUAAAAAAAUAAUAAGUAUUAUAAAGUAGAUUAAUUAUUUUUUUGAUAUAAGAUGAUUCAAUCAUUCUAAAAUGAAGAUAAUUAUUUUUAAUUUAUGAGAUUGAAUUUACAUAUCUUAUUAUAUCCUUAAAAAUUAUAUCAAUAAUUUAAAUUGUAUAAAUUUGAGAAAAGAUAAUUUUGAUCAAUAAAUAAAUUAUUUUAUCUUGAUCUUUGUACACAUCAAACAUAAAAUAAGAUAUUAUUAUUGAAUCUAAUUUUAUAUAUAAUAUCAUCUUAUCCUAUCUUACUAUAAUCUUAUAUACCAAAUAUAUUUUUAAAGAUAUAUAUUAGAACUUCAUUACAGUGUGAAUCUGUGUACUUCUUUAAUAAGCAGCAGAUCAGUUAUACCCUAAACCCAUAAAUGUAAGAAAAUAGUUUUUUAUUCCCUAAUUCCCUUCCACCUCUUUCCUUUCUGUUUGCUUUCUACCAAACACAAGAAACACAUUUUCAAGAAACAAUUGUUGAUAGGAAAUAUCCCAUAUAUCCAGAGCGAGUUGCAAAAUCAUGUUAGCAGUACUUUCAUGAAAAAAAAUGAUAGAAUUUGUUGAUUAAAUACGUGCUUGCUAUCUUGUUCGAACUCGGGGUAAGUGUUAGAUCUUAAUCUGUAUCUGACACAAGUGCAUUAAUUUUUUUUAAAAGUUCUUAUUUUUUAUAUAUUUUAAGUAUUGAACAUAUGUAUUCAUGUUUAUCAGAUAUCUGUCAAAUAUAAAUACUUCAAAACAAAAUGAAGAGACCGAAUAAUAUACACAAAAUUAUCAAGAAGGCUCCCUUGAAUGGUGAAUUUCCUGUCCAAGUGGGCUAUAAUUGCUCAAUAUCAUUUCUUUAUAUCUCCUCACAAGUAGAAGGGAAUCUUAUCGAUCCCUUUCUUUUCCUUCCAUGUUUAAGGCACUUCUAGGUCACGUUUUCUAAUCUAGAUUUAUAUGCUUACUAUUUACAUGACCCUUACUAAGAGUUUGGCGGUGAGAUUGACUCCUAUAAGAUUAAAAAUAGUAGUUGUGAUGAGAUUGAAUAUUGUACCAGUAAAAUUAAAUUAGUAGUAAGAUGUGUUUGGAUACAAACAUAGUAAUAAUAGUACAGUGAAAUCUAGUAGAAAAAAAUUAUAGAAAACAUUAGAUUAAAGGUAGUAUAUAAUAAAAAUUUUAAAUUAUUUGAUAUUUUUGAAGUUAAUAAUUAAUUAAAAAUUACUAAAAUUAUUUUUGUAUCAAAUCACAGUUUUAUUAAUAAAUAAUUAAAUGGAGUAGUAGAAGUAGGAAAUUUAGUUUUGUUCAUUUUUUUUUCUAAAUACAGGGUGCCAGGAGAGCUGCUUAUGGUCUAAAUGGAACUUGCCUGUUGGGUUUCCGUAUUGGUGUCAAUCUAGCUAGAUUCAACGCAAGAUCAAUUUUUUGGAGAAAAGCCCAACCGAUAGUGAAUCAUGAAGUUGUCGGCAAACAAGGUUCGAGGAAUCAGAGAUUUGGAUUAAGCAAUCAAAAUUAGGGUGGGACAGUCUCAAGGCAUUUUGCUGGUGAUGAUGUUGCUGUCAAUUGCAAAACAUAUCUUCAAGCUUUUAUGCAAAAUGACAUUUCAAAUACGUGGAACGGGUUCUCGACGAUAUUGACCAUAAGGUUGCUGGUACCGUUAUUGAGGAUGGUUAUGUGACUGUUAAUAUAAAAUCGUGUCCUAGAGUCGUGGAUGAUGAAGUUUUGCACAAGUUGGAUAUAUGCUUGAUUGGAGUCACUAGUGGAUACUAUAAAAUAGGGAGGCUUAUGGAGAAUUUUAAAAUUCAAGGGGUGUUUGAUAUCAUUGUUAAAAAGAAUCUCAAGUAGGCAAUUCUUAAUUCAAUUUGAAGAUGAAGAAACAACGAAUACAAUGAUUGGAAGGUCAUGGCUAAAAGAGUGGUUUGAUGAAGUUGAACCAUGGUCAGAGAAUUUCUAUUAAAAUAUCGAACUACGUGGCUGACUUGUUUUGGAGUACUUAUUCACACCUGGAAUUAUUCAACAGUCAAGAACAUUGCUAAUAUCUGGUGUGAGUUAUUGAGUUUUGAUGGUGCAACACUAAAGUUCCAAGAUUUUAGUAGGGGAGCUAUACUGAUUAUGACUAAUCAAUUGGACAAAAUUGAUGAAGUUAUUUAUAAAGUAUAGUAGAAAUUCCUUUCCAGUUACGGUCACUGAAAUUGGUUUGGAGUUUGUCUCAUUAUUUCAUUGCCAUUGUAAAAUUUCCAUUGCUGAAAACACUGGUAAUGAAAGUAACUCAUACUUUGAUCAUAGUGUUUGGUAAAUUCCAGUGUUGAAGAAUUCAUGAAAGAUGAACAGGUCAUCUGUAAAAAGGUAAAAGUGGUAAGAAUGCUGGAAUCAAGAUUUCAAUGAUCGAGGUUGUUAUUGAGACCAAGGAUAGGUGCAUGUUUCUCGAAAAGUGAGGCAUCGAACACGAGAUAUUGGCCUGGAUAUAGUAAUUAUGGAUGAGUUCCAAAUGAAGGUCAUACUGUAAAGAAGAAGAAGCUAGGUAGGAAAAGUAGCUCAAAUGAUCAAGCACUUUCGAUUGGGUUUAAUGGGGAUGAGGAAAAAGGGUCUGAAGUUGGGAUUAAUGGUUCAAGAGACCAAGAACCUAGUAAGGGUGGUCAUUUUAAAAGAUGUAUGUCUGGGCUAAUAAGUUUGGAGGGUGAAACCCAACCCAUGUCUCCUUCAUUACAGUCUAAAUAUCAAGUUGAAAAGACAGGGUUGUCUGACUCAGAAAAGGCAUGAGAGAAAGACCCAAGCAUUGGAGGAUAUUGAGGAGGCUCCGCACAAAAAAAAAAAAAAAAUUCCUUGAAGGCAAAGAACAUAGGUAAAAGGUCUAGGAUGUAAAAUAAAAGCUUCUAAUUCUAAAACUGGCAGCAGUAAUUUCGCAAAUGAAUCCCCUUUUGACGGAAAUUUUGGAAUCGAUUGAAUGUUAUUGGUAAAGAGGCUUGAGCGACUUGGGAGGUAGGGGAAAAGUUAGGUUUGAAGGCCUAGUUGAUAGGUUAAUUGAAUUGGAGGCUAGGGAUAUGAGGCAAUCCUAAUUGGCUCAGGUUUAUUUUCUACACUUUAUUGUAAUUUUGUCGGAUUUGGGUUGUUGUUAUUUCUUUGUGUUUUGAAUUUGAGGAUUUUAUCAGGGAUUAGAGGUUUGGGUAGUCAUGUGAAAGUUGAGUUUUAAAGACUUUGGUGAUUUUUAAUGAAAUUGUGAUGAUGUUAGUACAUGAAACUUAUGUUUUUUGGCUUGUCACUAAGCGGAUGAGUAUUUUGGAUCUUCUGAGGUAUGUGGAGUGACAUUAAGUAGUGCAAUUUAAGGAUACUAAUAGGUUGUCUAGUAUAUUGAGAUGGCAUUAUGGGUACGAUUACAUGGGGCUAGAUUAUUGGAGGAUAUCAUAACAAUAUUUUUAGAUGGCUACUAUACCAUUUGAUUACGGUGAUGGUCGUGAGUUGUGGCCUACCAGGAUUGCUGAUGAAGAAUUGAUUACUACGGAAGCCAAAGCUUCUUGGAUUUUCAGGGCUGGUUCUCUAUUGUUUGGGGUCCUUAGAAUAAUGAUAUGUCACUGUUGUGAUUGAUUUCUUUUCUUGGGAUCGAUUAUUGGCAGUUUGGAGCUUUAACAUGUGGGUAUGCUUUGAUUUUUAAAUGAUGAUUGGUAUGGUUUAAAUUGCUGUUUAUUAAAUCUUUGGUGAAGGUUUACUGUUCAGAGUAUUAAAAACAAGCAUGAAACAACAUUUGGAAGUUUUGGGCCAUCGCAAGAUGAGUUUGGUGGAAUUCAAUUAGUUGUGCAUAUUAUCAAAUUUAUCAUAGCUAAUCAGUUUGUAGUUUAAGCAGCAAAGUUGGGAUGGUUUUCUUGUUUAGUUGGUGAAAUUUGAUUCCAUUGUUAUUGUUAAUUGGUAAUGGUAUAUAUCAAAUGAAAUUUUUUAAAAAAAUUUAAAUAUAUAUUGACUUUUCAACUUUUUUAUUUACUAUAUUAUAUUUUUAAUUUUUAAUUUAUAUAUAAAUUUUAUAUAUUAAGUGUUAUUCACUUUAUUUAAUUCCGGAUGAAUAUAUAUUUAUUAUUUUUUGAGAAAUUUAUAAAUUGUUUAUUUGUAUUAGAGUUUAAGGUUUUUAAAGGACAUUUUAGGACAAACAUUAAUUACUUAAAAGUAAAAUUGAAUAAAAAAAUAAUAACACGAUAAACAUGAAAUGCUAGUUUCUAAAUUUAUUAAGGUUAUUUUAAUCUUAAAAAUUUAAAUAUAUGAAUAAAAUUAUACUAAAAAAUUGAUAAGUAUAAAAAUAUUCAAAGUAAAAUGUGAUAGUUAAGGAUGAUAAAAUAAUUUGUACAUAACGUGCUUAAUUUUGCUGAAUUGCAGCACUGAUUAAAUCCAAACGGGGCAUAAUAGACUCAACCGGUUAUAUAUGCAAAUUUUUGUCAGCCAAACAUGCAACAGAUUGCCUGAAACUGAUUGCUCAAGUAUAAUAUGGAUUCUAAUUUAAGGUGAAAGUAAGUGAAUUGGUCCAGAUUUCUUGCAUUUAAUCUCGUGAACAUGAAUGUCAUUGUGCAACAGCAAUCCUUAUAAAUCUUCAAUAAAACUACUGCUAUAAUGCUUGUGGGAUUAAGAAGUUUAGGCAGUUUAUGAAAUAAAACAACAAGAAAAAUAUUUUACUAUUUUAAUGUGAUUAUGUAAUAUUGCAUAUUAAAUAUUUUUUUUCAUGUGAUUAUGUUAUAUGGUCAGAAUGAAAAGUAUAUUUAUUGAUAUGAAAUAACUUUUUUUAGAAUAUUUUCUCUUCUUGAACGCCUACGAGCACAUCAAUGUUGUCUAGCAUUAUAUAGAGCAAAUUAACUAAUGUAAUAAUUUUCUUACUUUUAAUAAAUUGAAAAUAUAUAUUAAUCUCAUUUUUUUCCUUUUACUUUUAAUAAUGAGAUCAAAAUCUAAAGGAGUAUUAGAGAUGCACAUGCAUAUGCAUGGACGUACACACUUGGUCAUAUACUUACAAUUCAUCUCCUACACAAAGAUUACAUAUAGACUAUAUCUCUAUCAGAACUCUAAAGAUCAAAAUGCAGUCUAUAUUUAUGGACAAAUUAACUUGUUUACUAAGUAAACUUGUUUAUCAAGCGGUAUCUUAGCAAAUCUCACAAAUAUUUCAAAAUAUUUUUUAUUAAAUCUUUUGAGAUUUGAGUUAAUAUUUUAGACGAACUGAAUUUUUGGUCUUUAUGUACAAUUUUCACAAGCUUAUGCCAAGAAUUGAUAAAAGCCAAGACAAUAACAAAAACCAGCUCAUAACUACGUAUGAGUAUAUGACUAACACAGGCACUGAACAGUGUCAUUUCAACAUUCAGGUAAAACCCAUCCUUGUAAAAUCCUGAUGAUCUUAUUCCCUUAUUGUAGUUAUGUAAGUUCAAGGAUAAGAAAGAAUCAUGGGAGUUAAGACAGAGGAAAACAGAAGACUGAGUCUCCAAGGAGCCUUUGGUGACUAUACUGCCCGAUGUACAUGUAUGCUGAGUAAAUAGAUAAAGUUAUUAUCUGCAUAGACUUGUAUGCUUUUUUCCGUUCACUUUUCUUAAUUUACCCUUUUUUUUUUCUGUUUAUGAAUAAUAUAUAUUUUUUUUUGGAGCAGUUCUUGGUUUGUAAGCUAUAUAAUGCAGAAUAUUUUGCAGAAAAGGGUCCUAAAGGACAUGGAAUAUAUGAGCUGUAAAAAAGACAUUACCUGAAAGGAUGAAAUGAAAGCAUCUUAAGAUUUUCUUAUGAAAGAAUGUGAACCAUUUGUUCAAUGAAAGACCAUUAAAUUUACUUGAUUAGCUAUAGUGAACUUGCCUGAGUGUUAGCUUCAGCAACAGAUCCUGGGUUUGAUGCAUCUGAACAUGCUUUCUUGUAUCUGUCAAUUGUUGCUCUGACACUGCAAAAUUAUCAACAGUCCUUCAGGUUAUUUGAAUGAGAUUGUACACCGUCUGAUCCCAAAAGCAUCAUUUCGUUCAUCAUAUGUUUAUACCCUUACUAUAGUACUUGAGUUUCUUUGUUGCAUAUACGUAACAGAAGAAAGUAGUCAAAUAUUCUGAGUUCAAUUUCCUAAUUAGAGGACUAUAUGAGGAAAAAAAAAAAACCCAUUUCACUCAAUGCUGGCGGAGGAAAGAUAACCACAUCAUUUUGUUAAAAUUCUAUGAUCCAGCCAACAGCCGCUGUUAGUAAAGUGCUGAAUUUUUGGUUCCAAAUGAUAAGGGUUCAAAUUCUGAUAGUCUUAAGUAAAAAAAAAGAAAAAAAUUCUAUGAUCUAGCAAAUAGAUUUUCAAAUUCACUUGGAAAUUAAAGAAAAUUAUUUUACAAGAUCAUCUAAGAAAGAGCAAAAGUGAUUCCAAGGAACAUAACACCAUAGAAUUAUUGCAUACUGCUCAAGCAUUUUACAAUUAUAAAUGUCAUGUUAAAAUUGUAAACAUUUGACGAGUGGCUUCUUAUACAAUAAUAGCAAAGAUGGAAUAAGAGUACCGAAACAAUGGACAAUAUUUUUGUAUUGACUACUGAAUAUCUAUCAGGCUUUCUUGUCAUGAUAAAAGGCCAAAGAAUUUGACACUCUCCAACAUAAAGGGCAGAAAGAGACAACUGCAAGAUCAAUACUCCAGAUAACCUCACGAUAAGUCUUAUACAUUUCUUAUUAGAAAUUCAUGCCUUAGAGUGAGAUGUUGAAAUCAUUCCUGAGGGUAAUAUGAAGACUUUUUGUGUGUAUAUGGACAAAACAAAAUGCAAAUGAUGCAAUAUAUUUAGUAUUUUUAGUAGUACAACAUCUCAAAAAACCAGAUACUCCAGGUCAUACAUAAUGUAGACAGAGAAUAAGAAAGAAAUAGUUUAUUGAACAAUCAGGAGUUGCUUGCACCAGAAUAUGUUUCACUUUCAUCUUUGAAACCCUUCUUUUUUGCCAUUCAUUUUGAAACUAAAUGUAGCUAUUUUCUCUGUCCACAAUCAUCAUCUUGGACUUACCUCAAGUUGAUACGAGUCUUUCUAUAAUCUUAAUCUCAAUCAUAAUCUCUAAUAAUCUAUGCAAUUAAUAUCUAUAAUCUAAGUAUAAAUAUAUACAUAUAUAUAAUCUAUAUUUAUAAAAUAUAUGGAAUCCUUUUAUCAAAAUAAAAAUAAAUAUGAAAGCCUUUUGCAGUGGAUCAUCUUCUCUUUUCUUUUCUUUUCUUUUCAUACAAAUGAUUUCUACUAAAAAAAAAAAGAUCUCUUCAAGUGGUCUACAAAUAUCUAAUGACCAAUUUCAAGAGACAACUUCAAAUUGAUCUAUACCUGUUUUAUGUUAUAAACAUCACUAUUGUCCAUAUGGCUGAUGCCAAUUUUACUUGAAAUUAGUAAUUAAUCUAAUUUUUUCACUCUAUAUAUAUCUAUGUCUUAGAAACAAAAAAUAUCCUUGAGUUGCUCUUAUUUUUAUACCAAAUCCUUCAUUGUUUACAUCAAACUGUGUUUGUAUUUAUAUCAUGUUGAGCUAGAAUAAGCCAAUGAGAUAUUAUCUCAAUGAUAAAGAGGAGAUAUUGAAACUUUUAAGUUUUAUCAUGUAUAGGUUUUAGUCAAACUUUAUGUUUAUUUUAUUUGGUUUGUUUGUUUGAUUAAUUUGUCUAUAGAGUUUUUUUUUUGUCUCUCUCUCUUUAUAUAUAUAUAUAUACACACACUACUUUUUAGUCCCGUGCUAUGAACAUGAUAGCCAUAAUGUAUGUUAGAUGAUAUAAUUUAUAAGGUAGAAAAGGAAAGAAAGAAGAAGUUUAAGUGUAGAUUACUUGAAAACAAUGAGUAAAUGUUCUUAAUUUGUUAUCUAUAGUUUAAUACAUAAUAAUAAGAUAAAGUUUUAAAUCAUAAUAACUUAUUCUGCUAAUGCAAAUAUCAAAAUAAAAUUAAAUGAAUAUAUAUAAUAUAUAUUAAGUCAAUAUUUCUAACAGUUAAUAUUAUAAAUGAUCCUCCAAAUUAUAAUGAAAUGUUUAAUAUUAUACUUAAAUUUUAAAAACUCUAUGUAUCCAAAUUAUGAAUCUAUCAAUUAACAUGGCACUUAGAAAGUUAUUUGUUCGUCAUAUAUUAUCAUUUGAAACUAAUCACGUUAGGAGUAAAUACUAUUUUAAUUAACAGAUUCAAAGUUUAAGCACCACAUAAAAAAUUUAUAAAAUUUAGGUAUCAUAUUAAAUACUUCACUAUAAUUAAAAGUCAUUCAUGACAUUAAUCCAAACUCAAAUUAAAUAUAAAUAAAUUUAACACAUUUUAAAUUUUAAUUUAAUUAAAAAUUAAUAUAAUACACGUAAUUAUUAAAUUUGAAUAAAAUCACAUCUUACUCUUACAAAAUAAUUCAAAGAAAAUAUUCAUUCAAUAUUUAAUUUUCAAGAACAUACCAAAUGAUAAUUUAAUAUAAAUUUAUUUUCAAAAUUCAAAUUUUCUCGGUUAAAUUUUUUUAGUUUAUCAAACACUACCAAGUCUUUAUAUUUGUGCAUUUUGAAAUUUCUUAUUUGAUUUUUUUUCUCUUUUCACUAAACUUCUUCUUUAUACAAUUUUUUUUUCUUCCCAUUACUUAUAAAAACUUUGUAAGAAAAUAAGCUAAUCACAAUCCUUCUUAAUAAUCUAAAAAAUAUUACUAAUUAUUUUUAAUGUCAAUAAUGUUUUAAUUUAUGAUUCUUUGCAAUUGUUUACAAUUCAAUUUAGAUAAAUGUGUUCUCUAACAUUUGUAUAAAAAUAAGGAGAUUUUAGAAUGAACCCUAAAUGAAAAAAUUAGCAUUUUUAUUUGUAUGGAUGUGUAUAAAUUAGCAUUAACAUGUAUCAAUAUAUAUAUAUAUAUAUAUAUAUAUAUAUAUAUAUAUAUACCAAAACUCCUCACCUUGUUAGUGCUAGUCCAUCAUUGUCACUUAAGCAAAUACAUCGAUGCACACAAUUUAUAAUUUUUUAAUAGUUAUAAACAGAUUGAUAUUGUUAAAAUUAAAUUGGGAUGGUUAUUUUUUAUUGUUUCAAUCUUUUCAAUUUUUUUCAUUAUUGUUACUUAUUUGUAUUGAUUGUUUUUAUAAAUGUUUUAUCUUAUUUUUUUGUUUCUUAUCAAAAUUUUUACUUCAAGUUAAUGUUGUAAAAUUGAAAAUUAAUUAAAAAUUUUUAACACUUUAAUUUCUUUGAUGUGUUUGAUAAUUUAUCUAAGGAAAGCAAUUGAUGGAAUAUUUUUAUGAAAAAAAUUUGAAAAAUAUAAUGUAGAUAAAACCUUUUUAGUAUAUUCAACAAUGUCAUUUAAGGAAAUUUUUAUAAUUUAAUUACGCUAUUGUUACAAAAAAAAAAUAGUGACACUAAUAUUAAAAAAGCCCUUGAACUUUUUUUUUUUAUUUAGAUAAAUUCUUAUAUUUUUAUUACAUCCAAAUAAAUUAUCGAUCUUUAAUUUGCACCUAAAUAAACUUUUAACUUGUAAUUGUAUCCAAAUAAGCCAUAACUUUUAAUUUAUAUCUAAAUAAGCUCUUAACAUAAAUUAUUUUUUUUAUUUGAAAUAAGGGUUUAUUUGGAUACAAAUAAAAGAAUAAGAGCUUAUUUUUAUAUAAUAGAAAUAUAAAAUUUUAUCUAAAUAAAAUAAUAAAAUUCAAUUACUUUUUUAAUAUUUUAGCCUAAAUAAAAUUCAUUAAUACACUUAUAAUAUGUGAAAACAUACAUGAUUACAAUAUGCAAACAUUUCACUCUUUUAGGAUUCAUUGUCCACAGUUUCAUCCUUUUUAUCGUCUUCUAUCUUUUUUUUUUUUUCCAUCUUUAUAGUAUUCUUUAAAAAAAAAAAAAAAACUAAAAAUAUACCAAUAAUGAACGUGUCAUGUUGGAUAUACAUGAAUUAUUGAGUUAAUUUGAUUAGUGAGUUGAUGAAUUAUGAUAUAAAAUAUAAGUGAAAAAAUAAUUAAAUUAUAUUUUCUAUGUACUUAAUCUUUCUCGUUCUAUUUAUGUUAUGCAAACAUACAGGUGAAACAUAUCAUGUAUGCAUCACAUUAUUCAAUUCAAAGUAUUUUCGAUUUUCUGUCUCAAAAUUCUUAUUAUUUUUCUUAUUGGAUUUCAUACAACAUUACAUCAUUUUAUUUAUUAUUUAUUUUUAUUUUAUGUGUAAAUAAUAUUUGCUGUCUCAAUAAGAGUCUACUAAUAAUAAAAAAAUUAUUUAAAUUAAAAUUUAUAAAAAUUUUAUUAUAAGUGUUUUAGUUAAUCACUUUUAAUACUUAUAGAAUUAAAAUUUUAUUAAAACUAUUUUAGUCAAUAACUUUUAAUAUUUUUAAAGCUCAGACUUUUAUAUAUAGCUAAUAUAUGCUAUUUUUUUUGUUUCAGGAGAGGGUAUAGCCCUUAUAAGAGGAAAGGGGGGAGAAGAUUCUGGCUCAAAACUAUUACUUUUAUGUUCUCAUAAAACUUAAAAAUUUCAGCUUUAAUUAUUUAAAUUAUCUUAACAACAUUAUUGGAAAAUAGUCAAUUCAAAAAAUUUUAGUAUUUAUUUAUCGAAUUGUAAUUAAUAACAAGUUGGAAAAUAAAAAAUUGAUUAAAAAAUUAAAUCUAGCUAGGACAAUAUAUAUAUGUGGGGUGGAGAGAUUAUGAUGUUAUCUAGCUUCAUAUCCUUAAAUCUUAUAUGCAAUCAACAGAUUUUAACAUGCAUUUCUAUACUUAGAACUAUAUGGGAUCAAGGGAUCAUGAGAAAAGAAGAAGAAAAAAAAAAGAAGGAAAGAGAGCUAGAACAAAUAUUGGCCAAAUGGCAAGGCCAAGCACUGCAGAACAAAAAAACCAGGGAGGCAGCUGUUUCCUUAAUAUUUUCGAGCUACUGAUUGGUUGCCUGUGCCACUCUGGGACAAGAUACCCCAACAUGAUUGGCUGGAAACCCUUAACUUUAUGUAAGAUGAAAAGUAUCACUGGCUAAGCCAUUCCACAACAUGUAAUGACCAGAAAGAUCCUAAAAUACCCAGAGAUCCUUUCCUUGGUUUGAUGCAGAAAUUAAAAUAAGAUAUACAAAAUGAAGAUUUUUGAAAAGACUUUGUAACUUUGGGUGGCAGUGAACCAUGAACUGCGUGACUGAUUUGUAAUAAUGAUAAUCGAAACAGUUUCAGGCUGUGCCCAAUGCUGCACGUCCAAGAAAGUGCAGAGAACCUCAUUGGUUCGUACCCUUUGUUUUCCCCCUCUCUGAUCCCCCAUCUCUCCAUCACUUCAACUUUUUAUCUCUCUCAUAUUGCCAGUAUAUAUUUUGUCUUCUAUUUUUCUAUAUUUAUCUUGAAUAUUUAUACAUAAUAACACAAAUGCUUGACUUUUGUUGAUAUUGUUUAUAAAUUUGCAUAAAUGAGUUUGGUGAGAUCUUUUUCAUAUCUUUCUUUUUAGCGUUUGUGACAUAGAAAUGGUGAAGCAUAUCCAGCCAUUAAACUUGGGAAGUUUGUUUCCCAAAAUAUGUAACUUUUUCUCUCUUUCCCUAAGUAAAUAAUUAAUAAAAAAUAAAAACCUUUCCAUUAGAUUUGGCCCAAACAAAACUAUCAAUCUAUAGAAUUCGUUGGUCUAAUAGUAGUCUGUUUUUGUUGUUUAAAAAAAAAAAAAAAAGAGAUUUUGAGGCUUUCACCUUACAUUUUCAUGAUCGUUGUGACAUGAGAACGUUGUAAAAUUUAAGCAGUAUCUUGUUACAUAAUGAAAAAGGUGAUCAAAGAAUAUUUCACCAUUUGAGAUUUAAAAAAUAAAAAAUAAAAAGGAAUAGCAAAAAGAGAAACCAAAUAAAAGGAAUCAUUGAAACCAAUGUUGUCAGUAGUGACGAACUGAAAAAUCUUGCCUGACGUGACCAAAGAUUCGUAUAUUGUAAAACUAAGACAAAACCCUAGCUUUAUCCAUCCAAAAUGGUAAGGAAAAAAUGGAGUAAAACCAGGAUUCCUUUUUGAUUUGUGUAAGAAAUUUGUUCUGGGAAUUUAACAAUAGGUAUCCGUCUCAGUUUUGAAACCCUAAUCUUCAAGUUUAACACUUCUUCUAACCAAAAAGAAGUUCAGAAGAUUAAUUGUUUGAGAAAGAAACAAAAGCCAGAUACCAAACAUUAGUGUAUAAAUUCCUUUUUUUUUAAAUAUUUUUGACAGACUAAGAUUAGAUUUGAUGAGAGAAAUACCCAUUUGGGAAAAAACCCUAAUCUAAGGUCUGAUUGAGUGACUGGUUUUGUCAUACAUCCAUUAGACCAUUACCUUAAACUCUGUCAGCUGAUUGAAAUUUGACUUGUGACGACAAACAAAAGGGACAACAAAAGACUACUCUAUGAAUCUGAGUUUUGAAAUCUGAAGUUGGGUUAACAUUUUCCUAAGAAUUAUUUAAACAAAAGAGAUGGAAGAUAUGAGGAAUGGACUAAUGAGAGCGUGACACAGUUUGUGUUUGUAGCAGUCGUUUCCUGUAUGUCAAAGAUGACAUGUGGAGCGAUAGUAAGAAAAGAGGGUCUGCUUUAACACAUAUGCUGCAUAUAUCAUUAAAACCCUAGUUGUUGCUCUUACAACUACUACUUUUACACCCAUAUGCUGCAUAUAUCACCUAUAUGCAGCAUAUCUUUCAAACAAAGAGAAAUGAAGAAAAACUAUCUAAUUGAGGCUUAGAAAAGUACAACAAACAGAACAUAAGAAACCAGGUAAAUCUUUGUUAGAUGAACUCAAUCUUUUUAGUUUAAUAGCCAAGAAAAGAAAUUUCUCAACUGCAAAAAUCCUAUGUUUUACUGCAAAAGAAAAAGUCCAUUAAAAAGAUGUCUUUAAUAGAAUAGAAGCCUAUAAGCAUUAGCAUACGUAACUCCAAACAUGAAAAAUAAAAAAGAAAAACUGAAGAAAUUUUAUUGAUGAAUCAACUGAAAAUGAAAAUAGAGACGGCCAACAUAGUUAGAAGAAGAAAGGAAUUGAAGCAAAGAAAAGCAAAGAAAGAAGCAAACCUGUUGUUAGCAUACUCAUAGAGGCGACCACGGCUGGAGAAGAUUAUGAGAGCAACCUCAGCAUCACAAAGCACAGACAACUCAUAGGCCUUUUUGAGCAGUCCAUUGCGGCGCUUGCAGAAGGUGACUUGUCGAUUAGUCGUGUUCUCGAUCCGCUUAAUCUCAAUUUUACCUCUUCCCAUUUUUUUCUGGGAAGAGCUUUCCGGUUCUUGAUUUGGAAACUCCGUGGUUGAAAGCUGAAAAACAAUCAAACCCCAAAUUUUGAUAAACUUGAAUUACAAAGAAAACUACCCUUUUGAGAGCCCUUAGAUGAAUUCGGACAACACCAAAAACACCUACUUAUACUAAUUGGUCACGUUAGAUUUUGGUUUAUGUGCUCUAACCUGGCAAGGAGACCAAGGAAUUGACUUAGGAAAACAAAGGAAGGAGAAGUUCUUGAAGUCCUACUCUUCUCUUUCUUUUGAUCAAUAUGGUUUAAUUAGAGCAACAGUUUUGAGUUGCAAAAAAUGGAAGUACGCUGCUUUGGCAGAUGGGCAUUUAUAGUCAGAAAAUUGACCCUUUAACAAUCACCCAACACUAUUUUCUUUAGUACAUUUGUGUUGUAGAAGAGGAAUAGGAGAGAAAGGGUGUUGGAACGCAAAAGAAGGAUGCUUGAUGUUCACUUUGAGAUUCCAUUAACCCUCCAUUUAUUCUUGUAUGGGAAAAAGUGAAGGGUGAUGAUAGAGGGUAUUUUGGAAAGUGACUAGCAUUCUACCAAUGGUCUUGAAUGAGACAUUGUGCUUAGCUGCCCUCAGAAAAUGAAAUUGAAUUCAAUGCACUGCAGCAGAAAAAGCUAUCAAAAUCAAAAUUAGAUGGCCUCCCAUGCUAUAGUUUGCCUUGUGAAAUUUUGGGGCUGGGCCCUUUAUUCUAGUAUUUUAUUCGGAUCCUCAACCCUUGGUUGAAACUUGAAACUUUUUGCCGUCCCUCCUUCUCAUUCUCUCUCUCUCUCUCUCUCUUACAUUAUUAGAAUUUUUGUUAAUGUAUCUGCUAAGGGCUGUGAACCACACCCUGUGACGUAACUGAGGGUGACUCCCAUGUGAAGUUCUGGUCAUCUUCCAUUCCUGGGUUCGUUUACUGUAGAUUUGGAAUGGGCAUGAUUGUGUCAUAUUUAUAAUUUAUUAAAUUCGUGUAAAACAUAAAAAAUUUAUAUUAAAUUCAUAUCGAUAUUAUAAAUAUAAAUUUUUUUUUAAUUUUUGUCAAAAUACAUAUAUAAUUUUUUAAAAAAUUUUAAAUCAUAAUAUUUUGAUUAUAUAUUUUUUAUAUUAUUUUCGUAUUAUAUCAUUAAGUCGUUUUUAAAAUUAUUGAAUCAAAUUUAUGGUAAGAACAGAAGAGACCCUUUGAUAAUUUUGCUGCACUCUAUUUCACCUGUUUGAAGAGAAAUGUAGAAGCGUGGGUUCCUCAACUUUCAAGACCCAAAUUGCCAGUACUCAUUAUCAUUGUUGCGAGCACCAACUAAGCUCCAGCUGGCAGCAAGCCGUACUAACUAAAUUCUUCUAGUAUAUAGUUUGUUUUUGAAAUCAAGCAAAGCAUCGAAGCUAAUCAUUCAUAUAAUGUUAUUAACUUGUUCUAGUCUAGAAUUCUAGAUUCUAGAGAUCUAGUGCAUGUGAAAAUGUUUGUAUGAGUGCAAUAUUUAGCCUGCAUACCAUAAUUCUUUUCCUUCAAUGAACAAAAAUAAAAAGGCCUGGUCUCUACAGUUCAAGUUCGGACGAUCGGUUUCACUUUUUGCAGAGACCAAUAAGUUAAAUAAAGCCUUAUAAGAGUAGAGGGAUGGUGCUUAUUGAUGGGGAUGGCCACCAGCAAUCAUUCCUUUUCUAUGCAACAAAAUGUAUGACUUGUUCUGCAUAGAGUGCAUAAUGUGAUACAAAUGUCAUAUAUAUGUUGGCAGAUCCAAAUAACUGGAUAGAAGUCACAACUCCAUUGAAGAGUAUACUAAGGCCAUUUUUUUUCUGAGGUGGGUACCAAAGUAAAUUAAACGUUUUAGGUAAGACAAGGAUUUUGUUUUCUGGCAAUGAACUAAAAGGAAAAAUGCUUCAAAUUACCUAAGAGAAAUUUUAUUUGUACCCAAACCUUUAUCCUAGUGGUUAAAGGUGCUUGAGGAGACAUCAAUCAAGGGCCUGGUUUCGAAUUAGACCUCCAACCUUCUCUUUACUUAUACUAAGACUUUGUCAUUUUGAUAUAAUAAAAAAAAAAUAAUUUAUUGACAGACAUGUAUGAUUUUACUUAUUGCAAUCAGCUUACAAAUUAUAGUUUAAAUUAAUUUACUUAAUUUUAAGAGAAAAGAUGAAGUUUGAUUUAGGUGGUUUAGGGUGUUUGGAAAGUGAGAGUUACCAACUAAAUUUAUUUAGGAAUAAUAAAGUAAUUUUUUUUAAUAAAAAUUUAAAUUUUCUGCUACAAUUAACAAAAUUGUUGCUGCUUAUAAAAUUUCUCUAACCUUAAUUAAAACCUGACUGCAUUUUCACAUGUUAUUAAGAAAGUUUGAGAUAAUGAGGUAAAGCGCAUUUUGUAAUUUCAAACCAUUUAGUAGGAUUUCAUUUUGAUUUAUAAAUUUUAAAUUAUUUUAUGAUAGUCCCAAACAUUUUAAAAAGAUAUCAAUAUGGUCCCUAAUCAAAUUUUGCAGGAGAAUUACAACCUAGUUUAAUAGAUUCAGAAUUAUUACUGUCUAUUAUCAUACUAUAAUGUAUUUAUUAAAAAUAAAUAAACUUUUUAGGAAUGAAACAUAACUAUAGUUUUUGCCUUAAUUUAAAAAAUUCAACUUCUGGGAAAAUAGUAAUUUAUUUUCCUUCAUAAUAAUUAUAGAAAUUUUAUUUAUUUUUUAAUAAAUACAUUUUGUUAUGAUAACAAAAAGUACUAAUUCUAGAUCCACCAUGAUUUUAUUUUCUUUUUUUAUUCUUAUUUUAUCAAAAUUUAUUUUCUCUAUAUUUAUAAAUUUUGAUCAAAGAAUAUAAGAUUAAAUCUUAUUAAAUAUAAAGCUAGAACUAAAAAAAUAAAUGAAACAUACCAAAAUGAUGUUUUAACACUUGACUAAAUAGAAUUAAACAAUAAUUAAUAAUCUUAGAAAAAUUUUUGUAAAUUAUUACUAGUAUAAUUUGAAACUCACUAAAAUUAUGCCAACCUAAAACAAAUAACUUAUUUACUACUAUAAUCUCUUGAGAAAAUAUUUUAUUAGAAAUAAUUCAUUCAAGAUCACUUAACAAAUAAGUGUAAUUCUCUUGCUUUUAAGUUUAAAGUUAUGGUUAUAAUGUAAGUUCUAUUAAUUAAGUCCUUUAGCAUAUACAAGCCUUUUAAUUUCUUUUUUCAGAAAAUAAAUGUCAACCACCCGAGUGUAGAAAUAAUUUGGAUAUGUUUCAUUUCUUUCUUUUCUGUUAAAAAUAAAUUCUAACUUUAUUUUUAAUAAGAUAUAAUUUUAUAUUUUAUCAAAUUUAUAAAUAUUGGGAAAAUAAAUUUUAAUAAAAUAAAAUAAAGGAAAUAAAAUCAAGGUAAUAGAUUUAGAAUUAUUAUUCUUUGCUAUCAUACAAAAAUAUAUCUAUAAGAAAAAAAUUUUAUAAUUAUUACGAAAGAAAAAAAAAGUACAAUUUGCCUUUGAUUUUAAGUUGAAUUUUUAAAAUAAGAUAAAAUGAUACUUCCGUUUCCUUCUAAAAUUUUUAUAAAUUUUAUUUUUUUAAUAAAUAUAUUUAAAUUAUUUGGGUACAUUUCAUUUCUUUCUAUUUUGUUAAAAAUAAUUUUUAGUUUUUAAUAAGAUUUAAUUUUAUAUUUUUAUCAAAAUUUAUAAAUAUUGGGGAAAUAAAAUUUAAUAAAAUAAAAUAAAGAAAUGAAACAAUCAAGUUGAUUGACCCAUAAUUAUUAUUUUUUGCUAUCAUACCAAAAUAUAUUUACCAUAAAGAAAAUAAAAUUCUCAUAAUUAUUACGAAAGACAAUAAAUUACUAUUUUUAACCAUGAUUUUAAGUUGAAUGUGUAAAAUUAAGGGAAAAAAUAAUAGUUUUAUUUUCUUUUUAAAAACUUUUGAAGUCUCAUUUAUUUUUUAAUGAAUACAUUUUAGUAUAUUAGUAAAGAGUAAUAAUUAUAAUCUAUAACCUUAAAUUGUAAUUCUUUUGCAAAAUUUGGUCAUAGGGCAUUUUGACACCAUUUUAAAAAGUUUAAGACCAUUAUGAAAUAAUUUAAAUUUUAGUAAUAAAAUAGAACUCAAAUGAAAAUUUUAAGACUACAAAUGCACUUUACCCAAAGUUGAGUUCAUGAGCUGAAUAAAAAUUGUGAAAGUUGUUGUCUAAUAUAUUUUGUAAUCCAACCUAAUCUAAAGAGAGAGAAAAGUUACAUAUUUAUUGAAAAUAGAGGUACCUACAACAAUUAUUGCAAUUACACCUAAUAAUUUCAUGUACGGUAUAAUGAUAUAACAUAAAAAUAAUAUAAAAAAUGAAAUUAAUAUAGUUUAAAAUUAACAAAAAUCAUAUAUAAGUUUGAUAAAUAUAAAAAAUAUAUAUUUUAUAUUUGACGUGUCGAUACAAAUUAUAAUAUGAUAAUUUUCAUGUUUGACAUUUAUUUGAUAUAUAAUAGAAAUAUAGAUAUAAGUAAAAAUAUCAAUGGGUAAGGUAUGGCGAUUAGAACAUUCUUCAUCUCGAUCAUUGAAUUUUUAUAUUAUACUCAUCAUCAUACUUAUAUCGAAUGGAUAUUUCAAAUCAUUCUCAUUUUCAUUUCCAUAACUAUUUAAUGGAUAUGAGUAAUUCUCACACCUAUAACUUUUUAAAAAAUAAAAAAUAAAAUUUAUUUUUUAACUUUUUUCAUUUUAUUUUGUAUAUUUAAGUAAUUUUUUUUUAUAAAUAUAUAGUAAUAUAUAUAUUUUUAAUAAAAUAUAUUAAUUAUAAUUAAUCAAAAAUAAUAAUUUAUAUUAUUUAAUAAAAAAUUUAUUUACUAAAUAUAUAUAAAUAUAUAUAAGAUAUGAAUACAGAAUAUGUAUUAUAUUACGUACGAGUCUAUAUCCUCGUAUCCAUAAAAAUUUAAAAUUAUAUUUAUCAUCAUCUCUAUACCCAUAAUAAAAUAUCCAUUUCAUUUCAUUUGGAUAAAACAAUCCAAAUUUUCAUUAUAUAUAAAUAAAAUUGAUAUCCCUAAAUACACUCGAUUAAUAAUUACAAUCCAUCUAAGAUAUAUAAAAGGAAAAAGGAGAAACAGAGGGAGUACAUACUAAUUUAAUUUAAUGGCAACACAAGUCACAUGACUAUUAGUGGUAGGGAGGGUAAUUAUCUACACAAAUUUAUAAAGAGAUUGAAUUAUAGGAAAGCUUGUACACACUAAAUUAUAUUAGGAUCAUUUUAAAACGGAUUGUUAAGCGUUCAAUAAAAUCUUGCCAUCUCAUAAUUUUUUUAAUAAAAAUAUUUAAUUAAUAUUUUAUGCCCCCUCACACUAAGUUAACUUUCAUUAACUCAUGAUUAAUUUAUUUAAAGAAUAAUAAACUUUUAAAAAACUAUUAAAUAUUAUCAUGAAAAUAAAAAACCCAAAAAAAAAAAAAAUUGCAAAAUGACUUUCCUUUGUUGCUUGAGUAUGAAAUACUUUUCAAUUAACAAAUGGAUUAAUAAUUGUUCUUUCUCAUAAUCUCAAGAUUUUUUUUUUUCAUUUUGAUUUUAUGUUGUUUCCACUCUAUUUUUAUUUUCUCUAGGUAAAUAAGGGGGUUUGUGUCAUGCUUAAUUUGUCUAUUCCAAGUUGUUUUGAUGGAUUUUUUCUCAUCAUAAAGGAAGGUUGUAAUGUUCAUUUUGUCCAGUCUCGUUUUAAUUUAAAUAUAAUUUGUUAUUUAUUUAUUUAUAGUUUAUUAUUAUUAUUAUUAUUUAUUUUAUUUCCUCUCUUAUUUCUCGCAUAGUCUGAAAGUCUUUAGGUGUAAUAAAUGCAUUGAAAACACCCCUCGUACCACCACCCACCAAAAUCAACUGCCUGCAAGUCCACCAUCCUAAGAGCUGUCUAACUGUGCAAUAGAAAUCACGAUGUCCAAAAGUCACUGAUAUGGCCUAAAAUUCUCCCCUCAAUCUUACAAAAUUUGAAAUUUGAAUCCCAUAUUGGUUCAAGCUUAAAAUGGGGAAUAAAAAAAAACAAAAAAAGAAAAAACCCACAGAGUAAAAAAAAACCUACAAAACAAAAAACCUAGAAAAACAAAAGAAUUUUUUCCAUCCAAAAAAAAGAGAAAUCUUAGAAAAAAAAAAAAGAGGAAAAUACAUAGAGAUGGAAAACCAUGCCCAAACCCAAAAAAAAAUUUUUAGCCUACUGAAACACAAAAAAAAAAUAAAAUUAAAAACACAAAAAAAUCCAACCCUUGGAACGGGAACCAUAGCCCCAGAAGCAAAAGAAGGCAAAACAAAAACCAUAAAGUUAAAAAAAAAUCAUUUUCUACCAAAACUUUCAACCUUGAUCUAGGCCAUUUGAGACUAGCUUUUGCAAAACUAAGGCUAGAUCGAAAGUUAGGAGGCCAAAGGGAAUUUUUUGGAGAUUUUUGAAAAUUUUUUAUCACUAGCAACGGUGACCUAUGACAAUGUGAAGGCAUGAGACAGAACCUAGACAGAGGGGCGAUACCUAGGUUUUCUCUUAGACAGAGAGAGAGAGAGAGCGUUUGAGAGUGAGUAUUAAUUAAAUUUUUUGCUUUUAACAUAAUAUAAAUUUCCAAAAUUAAAAUUAAAUUAAACAUUGCAAAAUCCUUUCUUAAAAAUUCUACAUUAUUUUAAAAACAAAAAAUAUAUUUUUAUUAAGAUAUUAUUUUACAGAUAAUUCAUAAUAAAACAUAUUAUUUUCUAGCAAAAAACCUAUUUUCUAUCAAAAUAUAUAUCUUUUCCUUUUUCCUUUUUCAAACGUAUUUUAUAAAAUAUAUUUUACGAAAAAUGAAAACAAAAAAUAAAAAUAAUUAAAGAAAAUUUGAAUUUUUUCUAUCUUAAAUAUAUUUUAAAAUAUUGUAAUUUAAAGUAAUUUUUAUUUUUGUUGUGAUAUACUUUAUCAAUAAAAUAAUAUUUUAAUAAAAAAUAGAUUUUUAAAAAGUUAAAAUUAAGUUAAAAAUUUUAAAAUCCUUUUUACAAAAAAUUCCAUAUCAUUUAUAAGAAAUUAAGUAAAAAUUUUUAUAUCAAUUUAAAGAAUUAAAUAAAAAACUCCUUAUCAUUUAAAAAAUAUUAAUUAAGUAAAUAUUAAUUAAAAAGUCUAUUUUGAAUCUAUUUUCCAUUAAAAAUUUUAUAUUAUAUAAAAUAAAAAAUAUUAUUUUCAAUAAUUUGAUUUUUUUCUUAUCGGAUCAGCAAAGGUAAAGGCUAUUAUAAAUGUUAAAUUUUAAUAAAGAAUAUAUUCAGAAUAAUUAUUUUCAAUAGAAAUUAAUUAUGAAUAGCUUCAUAUAUUUAUUUUUUUAAAGAGAUUUGAAGUUUUUAUUCAUUUUUGUAAAUUAAUGUAGAAAUUUAUACAUAAUUUUUUAAAUGACAUCAAAUUUUAUUCAAAAAGAUUUUGAAAUUUUUAACAAAAUUUCAAAUUUUGAAAAUUUAUUUUUAUUAAAAAUAAAUAAUAGUUAACUAAUAAAUUAUAUUAAAAUAAAAAACUUUUUAAAUUUAAUAUUUUAUAAAAUAUAUCUAAAAUAUAAAAAAAUUCAAGAUAGUAUCAUUUUUUGUCCCAAAAUUUUGAAUAAAAUUCUAUUUUGAUUCCUCAAUCUACCAUGUAAGAUGCCACCUAACAUCUUUCAUGUAAUGCCAGCUAGUAUUUACCAACAAUUUAAAUAGUUUCAUAAAUGAAAUGACUAAAAUAAUAUAAUUUUGAGUAAUUAAUGUCGUAACGAUUUUGGAGCCUCCCGACGAAUUUGAAAACAAAAAAUAAAAAAGAUAGAGUCACCACCAAUCUUUUUUGGCUAGGUACGAUUAGUCACCUAUUAAAAUUUAUCCUUUUAAUAAAGGUUUAAAAUUAAUUAAAAUUUAUUAAAAAGAUAAUUUUAUGAUCUGCGAAACAGUCUGGGUUCAGGAGUCGGUUACACGUGAGAAAGGAUUAGCACCCCUACAGUGUCGUUUAAAAUGGUAUCAAUUAACUAUGUGUUAUCCACUAAUUUUGAUAAAAACAGUCUUAUUUUCGGUGUUUGAAAAAUAAUUUUCUUGAUUUUCUUUGUUUUUUGAAAAAAUUUUCUUUUCUUAUUUGAUUUUAUUUAUUAUUUCAUUUUUUAUUCAAAUUUUAUUUGACAAAAAUAAAUCAAAACCCUUUUAUUGAAAUAAUUCUUAAAAUGUUCCAAUAUGUUGGUAACAUUAGAAGAACUCCUUCUCACCUAGAGAUUUCUUAGGCAUCGCUUCUCGAAAUACCUUGGAAUCUCAUUUUCGGAGGCUCAAAUUUAUCUUUUGCAAAAAACUAAGCCAUGCAUGCAAUGCAUAUGAUAAUAUGUUAGUGCAUGUAUUUUAUUCUCUUUUUUAGAAAUUUUAUUGGUUGUUUUAUUAAUUUUUUGUUAAAACUUUGAAAAAAAGAGGAACUUUUAUUAUAUUGAAGAUUUUCUAUAAAUAUUCUAAUACAUUAGUAAUAUUAAAAAAAAAUUUCACUUAGGGAUUUCUUAAAGCAUUUCUACUCGGAAUACUUUUAGAAUUCUGUCAUUAGAUAAAUUUUUUUUUUUCAUUUUUUAUUACUUUUUUUAAUUUUUUAAUUAAUUUUUAUUUAUUAUUUUAUAACCAAAAAAUUUUUUAUUGUAUUGAAAAUUUUUUAAUAAAUACUCCAAUACACCGAUAGUAUUUAAAAAAAAUCUUUUCACAUAGAGAUUUCGUAGGUAUCACUACUCGGAAUACCUUUGAAUCUCAUCGUCAGAUAAAAAAAUUUUUUUCUUUUUUUUGUAUUAUUUAUAAGAUUUAUUUAAAAAAACAAAUUUAUCACAAAUUUUUACUGUAUAUUUCAUUAUUUAUUCUUAUUUAUUAAUAUUAUAAAACAACAAAAAUUUAUUCUAGCAAAUUUAAACAUUUUAAUAUGCAUAAAUAUUAAUAAUAAAAUUAAAAAUAACAAAAAUAAUAUUUAAAAAAAUAAAAAAAAAUCACUUAAAAGUCAAUGUCGAUCUGGGCGGUUUGGCAGUCUAGUCAGGUUCAGCGGUUCGGGGCUAGUCCGGCUCGGUCUGGGUCAAUUCAGCUUAAUCGAUUAGAGGUUAAAUGAGAAGUAUGCAUCGAGUAGGAUGCGCAGAUCUCGGGUAAAGGUUGUGCUGACGUGAGGAUUCUUCGGGUCAAAACGACGUCGUUUUGACCCCUUUAAUGAAACGACGUUGUUUUAGCUUUCAACUUUCCAUAAAAGCCAAAAAAAAAAAUUUUCUCUCAUUUUCUCUUCUCCCUCUCUCUUUCUACACUCUUAAACCCUAUCUCUAGACUGAUAGGUCGAUCACCGUCUGUCGCUCUGACCGACAUCAGUGGUCAUCGAUCGAUCACCGAAAAAUACUCAAAAAACACCAAAACAUUUCCUUUAACUCCUUCUCAUCGGAUCCGACCUCUUUUUUCACCGAAAAUAGCCCCGAUCAAUGUAGAUUGGGGUUUAAAGUUUCAACCUCCUUAUUGUUUUAAACUAAAACUAACUAUUUUAUUUUUUUUGUUUUGCAGGUUUUGCUUGGCGCUGGGUUCCUCGUCGAACUAUGAUUUUUGUUUGAAUAGUUUUUUUUUUGCCAAGAAAUUUUUUUUUUAUUUUGAAAACUUUUUUUUUACAAGAUCCCUUCCCUUUCCUCUCUGUCUUUUUGGGGUCAGCAAGGAGCUUUAUUUUUAGAGCUUUCGUCAUGGCCUUGUGCCUAGACAGGUGGCAUAAGUUUGAUAGAAAUGGGUGUCAUGUACAGCAUUCCAGCACCAACCUUUCUGCCUCUUUUUGUUUAUUCUAUUUUAUCUAACUUUGGCCUUGUGCUUGGGUAGAUGGCAUAAGGCAUAGCAGGGGGUGGUGCUGUGCACGGCACCAGGCACCCCCUGCUUUGUUUUUUCCUUUUCUUGUAUUUUUUGUUUGUCUUCUUUUUUUGUUUGUUUUUUUGUAUUAUUAUUAUAUUUAAUAAUAAUAUUAUCUUAUUAGUAAAUUUGAUCAAGGUCUGACAAAUUUGAUAUCUACAGUUACCUCUCUUUACAUAUUGUUGAGAAUCAAGAAUAGUGCAAAACAAAGACAUCAAUUUUAUUCGAGAAAGGUUUUCUUUUUUUUUUUAUACUUAAACUAAUUAGAAAGCUUUUCUUAUCAAAUCGAAAUGCUUCUCUUACUCGAGGCUCGACAACUUUUGAAAAUUUAAAAUCUAAAAAAGGCUCAUCUCAGCAGAGGCUUAACAACUUUAAAAAUUCUAUCUUGAAAAAGCUCAUCUAAGUAGAGGCUCAACAAUUUUAAAAUCUCAUCUUAGAAAAAGCUCCUUUCCACAGAGGCUUAACAACUUUAAAAUUCUAUCUUGAAAAAAGCUUCUCUCAAUAGAGGUUCCACAACUUUAAAAAUUUUCAUCUUGAAAAAGGUUCCUCUCAGUAGAGGCUCAAUAAUUUUAAAAAUUCUAUCUCGAAAAAAGCUCCUUUCAGUAGAGGCUCAACAACUUUAAAAAAUUCUCAUCUUGAAAAAAAGUUCUCUCAGCAAAGGCUCAAUAAUUUUAAAAAUUCUAUCUUGAAAAAAAGCUCAUCUCAGUAAAAGCUCAAUAACUUAAAAAAAUUCUCAUCUUGAAAAAGACUCAUCUCAACAGAGGCUCAAUAACUUUAAAAAAUUUAUCUUGAAAAAAACUCAUCUCAGCAUAGCCUCAACAACUUUAAAAAAUUUUCAUCUUGAAAAAAAAGCUCUUCUCAGUAGAGGCUCAACAACUUUAAAUUAAACCAUUAAAAAAUAACUUCAAAUAUCACUAUCAAAGGAUAAAUAAUCUCAGAUAUCACCAUCGAAAAGAUGCAAAUGACUUUGGAUGUCAUCACCGAAGGAAACUCGAAUAUCACCAUCGAGAAAAUGCAAUUCAAGCUUUAAUACUCAGGUAUCACCACCGAGAAAAUGCAAAUGCAAAUUCAAACUUUAAACUCGGAUAUCACCAUUAAGAAUAUACAAAAGAUUUCGGAUAUUGCCAUCGAAGAAAACUCGAAUAUCACCAUCGAAAAAAUGUAAUUCAAGCAUUAAUACUCGGAUAUCACCAUUGAGAGAAUAUAAAUGCAAAUUCAACCUUUAAACUCAGAUAUCACCACCAAGAAUAUGUAAAAAACUUUGAAUAUCGCCAUCGAAAGAAACUCGAAUAUCCCCAUCGAGAAAAUGCAAUUCAAACUUUAAUACUUGGAUAUCAUCAUCGAGAGAAUACAAAUGACUUUUUUAAUACUUGGAUAUCACCACUGAGUGAUUUUGAAAAUGUCUUGGAUUUCACCUCCAAGAAAAUGCAAAUGCAAAUUUAAACUUUAAACUCAGAUAUCACCACUGAUUGAUUUUGAAAAUGUCAUGGAUAUCACCACCAAGAAAAUGCAAAUGCAAAAAUGCAAGUGCAAAUUUAAACUUUAAACUUGGAUAUUACCACUGAUUGAUUUUGAAAAUAUCUUGGAUAUCACCACCAAGAAAAAGCAAAUGCAAAUUUAAACUUUAAACUCAUAUAUCACCACCGAUUGAUUUUGAAAAUAAUUUAUCACAAUAUUUUCCUUGACUAAUGUCGAUUCACUGGGUUAACAACUUUCUUGCUAGCUAGAUUGGGCUUAAAACUUUCAUCUUGUACCAUCACAUCUUGAUCUUUUGAAUAUGUUUCUACCUUUUUUUUUUUACAGGUAACAAGCUUUAUUUAUAAAGCUUUUUGGAAUUCAAAUCCCAAAUUUUUUGGGAUUCAAAUCUCAUAUUUUCAACCGACGUGUUAGACUUUUGGUAGCUGAGAUUCACAUUGUCAAGUUAGGCAAGGUAUCAAGUGGCUGUCGUUGGUGGCGGUGGUCGUGAUUUUGGACUUUAGGGAGAGUGCAUUUAAUGCACUCAAAAUUCUGUCGAGCAAAAUCAAAAAAGAAAAUAUAUAUAUAUAUAUAAUAAUAAUAAUAAUAAUAAUAAUAAAUACAAAAUGGUGCUUACAGCUGCUCCUCUUUACUUAUUUCUGAGAAUCAUAAAUAAGACAAAGACAAAUGAACAACCAUUUUGUUCGAAAAAGAAGAAACAUUGAGCAUAAAAUCUUUUUUUUAAGGGUUCCAGAAGUUCAACAACAUUUUUUAAAAUUUAAAACGCUCAUCUGAGCAGAAGCUCAACAACUUUUAAAAAUUUAAAAAGGCUCCUCUAAGCAAAGGCUCAACAACUUUAAAAUUCAUCAUCUUGGAAAAGCUCCUCUAAGUAGAGGCUCAACAACUUUUAAAAAUUUAAUAAGGCUCGAAAUCAAGUUCUCAUCUUUAAACAAAUAAAUUUCUCUUUUUUGAAAUCUUUUGUUUGACCAUUAUCUUCAUCCGAAUAUCAAAAUCUUGCUUUUCAUUAGGAAAUGAAAAGUCUUUAUCCUUAUUAUAAAUGCUCAUAGAUGCAUGUACUGAGUGCUUUAAAUGCAAUACAUGUAAUGCAAUCAAAAUUAUUUUUUGUAGUAAAAAGGUUCUCAAAAUCUCUCACUUUUUGCUUCUUUUAUCACAAUUCUUAAUAAUUGUCAUAUGACCAAUCUAUUCUUAACAUCUGACCGUUGUAUUCUUCUCUAAUGAUACUUUUCUUCUUCAAAAGUCUGUAACAUUAAUGUCUUAUCAUGCCUUUCUCAUCUUUUUUCAUCUGUCUUUACCAACUUUUAAAAAAUAGUGCUAAAAUAUUUCAUGUUUGUUUUUUUUUUUAUCAUUUUAAGUUCAAAACAAACAAAAUGCAAUCACACAUUACUCCUAUUUGUACGGUGAACAAAAAUAUUAAAUGAGAAUAAAAGAAUGGAUAGGCGUUAUUUCCAAAGAAAAAAUAGCAUAUUUCAUUAGAUGACAAAGUAUUUGAGUCGAAAUAAAGGUGCCCAAAUAAUGAUCAUAAGAUAAUUAUGAAUAAAGUAUUCCUAGAUUCUUUUUUUAAAACUAAAUCAAAUGACUUGAUACUUCAAAGUUCGUCAAACUACACUUACCCCCUAUGUUGUAAGUACAUCCAAAUACUUUUUUCAGGUUUUUAGCUUAGAUGAGUCAUUAUUUUUCAUUUCUUUUUGACUUUUUUCUUUUUUUUUUCAAGCAAGAUAUUUCUUCACAGCAUUUGAAUUUAUCGGAGUAGGUAAAUCACUUCCGUCUAUUUAUGCUAAAAUCAAUACCCCACUAAAAAAAGGCCUUUUUCACCACGUACGAACUCUCUCAAUUUGGUGUCCAUUUUUUUCGAAUGUCAUGUUGAUUUGGAAGGAUCUUUUUCAGUACUAAGUCUCCUUCCCUAAAGUGAUGGGGAUGGAUUCUCUUGUCAUAUGCUCUCAUCAUCCUCUUUUGAUAUAAUUGACCAUGACAAAGUAUUGUAAGUCUUUUCUCUUUAAUGAUAUUCAAUUGUUCAUAACGAUUUUGAACCUAUUCUGCUUCCUCUAACUCUAUCUCCAUCAGGACUUUCAGCGAGAAAAUUUUUACUUCGACUAGUAGUACAGUUUCCAUUUUAUAUACCAAAGAGAACGGGGUGGUGCCAAUAGAUGUUCGGACUAAUGUUUUAUAAACAUGCAAAGCAAAAGGUAACUUUUCAUACCAAUCUUUGUAAGUGUCAGUCAUUUUCUCUAAGAUUCUUUUAAUAUUUUUAUUUGCAACCUCCACUGCCCCAUUCAUCUUUGGACGAUAUGGUACCAAAUUAUAAUGAUGGAUCUUAAAUUAAAUGCAUACUUCAUUCAUCAUUUUUCUGUUCAAAUUUUUGGCAUUAUCAGAAAUAAUCAUUUUUUAAAGCCCAUAUCUACAUAUUAUCUAUUUUUUUAUGAACUUGUAUACCACAGAUUAGGUCACACUAGCAUAUGAUGCAGUUUCUACCUAUUUUGUAAAGUAAUCAAUUACCAUAAAGAUGAAUCUAUGCCUAUUUAAAGCUUUUGGAGUGAUGGGAUCGAUGACAUCCAUAACCUACAUAGAGAAUGACCACAAAAAAACCAAAACGUGUAAUGUUGUUAAAAGAGCAUGGAUCUUGUCAACAUAGAUCUGACACUUAUGGCAUCUUCUAACAUAAUUAAUAUAGUUUUUCUCUAUUGUCAACUAAUAGUAACUGACCCUUAUAAUUUUCUUAUCCAUCAUAUGACCAUUUGCAUAUGCCCCACAAACUCUAUCAUGUACUUAUUCAAUAAUCCUUUUCGUUUCAGCUGCAUUCACACAUCUUAAGAGUAUUUGAUCUUAAUCAUUUUUAUAGAAGACAUCUCCAUCUAGGAAAAAACUCAUAGCCAACCUUCUGAUAGUCCUCUUAUCAUUUUUUGUUGCAUGUUUUGGGUAUUGCUGACUUUUAAUGUAUUGUAUAAGGUCAUGAUACCAUGACUUCCCAUCAACUUCUUCUUUAACACCCGAAUAAUAUGCUGAUUCAUCCUUCACAUCCAGUUUGAUGGGUUGGAUUUCAAUAUUUGUAUCUAUUUUAAUCAUUGCAACUAGAGUAGCUAGUGCAUCAAUAAUUUGGUUUUCCUCUCUAGGUAAAUGCUCAAAUUAAACUUCUUCGAAUUGUUUGACCAACUUAAAAAUGUAUUUAUGGUAUCGGAUCAACAUGGAAUCUCUUGUUUCCUAUUCUUCUCGUAACUAAUAGAUGACUAGAGCUAAAUUUCCAAACACAUCUACUAUUUUGAUCUUUUUUUCAAUCGCUGCUCAUAGACUCAUAACAUAGGCCUCGUAUUCAGCCAUAUUGUUUGUCCAAUUGAAAUUCAAUCUGGCUGUGAUAGGAUAAUAAUGUUCAUAAGGAGAUAUUAAAAUUACCCCAAUACCAUAGCCUAAAGCAUUAACAGCUCCAUCAAAAUACAUCCUUUAAGACUUCUUAACAGGUUCAUUUUUUUCAAUGGCCAUCACAUCUUCAUCAGAAAAAUCCAGUUUCAUGAGUUCAUAAUCUUCGGUUGCAUGAUUGGUAAGAAACUCGGUUAUCGCACUUCUUUUAAUAGCCUUUUGAGUCACAUAAACAAUACCAUAUUCUGAAAGCAUAACUUGCUAUCAUGCUAUUCUCUCUGUCAAUGAAGGCUUUUCAAAAAUAUAUUUAAUAGGAUCUAACUUUGCUAUGAGCUAAGUAGUAUGAUAAAACAUGUAUUGUCGAAGCCUUUGAGCUGUUCAGGCCAAUGCAUAACAUAUCUUCUCUAAUAGAGAAUACUUAGACUCGUAAUCAGUGAAUUUCUUGCUCAAAUAGUAAAUUACUCAUUUUUUCUGUUAGUUUUAUCUCUUUGCCCCAACACACAUCCCAUUGAAUUUUUAUGCACUUUAAGUACAAAAUCAAAGGUUUUUUCGAGAUUGGUAGUACCAACACAGGUAGAUUUGACAAGUAUUCUUUAAUCUUAUCAAAAGUUUCUUGACAUUCGUCAUUCCAUUCUCUUGGAUCAUGUUUUCUAAGAAGCUUAAAAAUAAGAUUGCACUUAUAGGUGAGUUGAGAGAUAAAACGAGCAAUAUAGUUCAAUCUCCCUAGGAAACCUCGCACUUGUUUUGGGGUACGAAGAUGAAAUAAGUUCUGGAUGGCUUGUAUCUUAUCCGAAUUCAUUUCGAUUCUUCUUUCACUAAUCACAAAGCCUAAUAAUUUUUUUAAUUUGGCACCGAAUGUAUAUUUAAUAGGAUUCAACUUUAGCUUAAAUCUUCUCAACCUGUUAAAUAACUUUUUGAGAUUAACUACAUGAUCUUCUCUUUUAUGAGAUUUAUGAUCAUAUCAUCUACAUAUAUUUUUAUUUUUUUAUGCAUCAUAUCAUGAAAGAGAGUCACUAUUGCUCUUUGAUAAGUGGCACCAGUAUUUUUCAACUAAAAAAGAAUGACUUUGUAACAGAAUGUCCCUCACAUGGUCAUAAAUAUGGUUUUCUUUAUAUCAUCUUGAGCUAUCUUGAUCUGAUUAUAGCCUAAAAAACCAUCCAUAAAGGAAAAUAUAUAGUGCCUAGCAAUAUUAUCUACUAGAGUAUCGAUAUGGGAUAGAAAAAAAUUAUUCUUGGGACUCGUCCUAUUCAGGUCCUGAUAAUCGACACACAUUCUCACUUUUCUAUCCUUCUCAAGAACUGGCACUAUAUUGGUUACCCAUUUCGGAUAUUUUGCCACCUCCAAAAAUUUAAUAUCAAAUUGCUUCUUCACUUUUUCUUUAAUCUUCAACAACAUCUCUAGCUUCAUACACCUUAACUUUUGCUGUACCAACUUGCAUUCUAGUUUCAAAGAUAAUUUAUGCUCUACAAUAUUAAUGCUGAGUCUCGACAUAUCCUAGUAAGAUCACAUGAACACAUCCACAUAUUCUUAAAGCAGUUAUUCUAACUUCUACCUUUCAGUUGGCAAAAAAGAUGUACCAACUUUGACCUCUUUUUUAUUUUUACCGUCUCUCAAAUUCACUAAUUCGAUAAUUUUUUUUGGGAUUCAAUUAGCUUAUCUUCACGUUCUAUUAAUUUUAACAAAUUAAGAGGCAGUGUGUAGUUAUCUGAAUCUUUUUCAUUAUCAAGUUCAUUAAUAUGAAUUAAGUUUUUGAAAUCAAAUUUGAGAUUAUUGCCAUGAUUAUCUUUGAAACCCUGCAAAGGGUAAAAUGAAGAGAACAUUGGCACACAAAAAUGAAAUUGUAAGAAAAUGAUUAAGACAGAAUGAAAAGGGAAAUGAUAUAAACGAGUGAAAGUGAAAACAAAUAGAAGAAAUACGGAUGCAUCUUUUAAGUCUUUUAUUAAAACAACAAAUGUAAACAAGUCACAAAAGAUCUCUUAAUGCCCAUAAAAAAUGAUUAAAGAUUUAAAGUUUUACAGUACCUUACUUCUCAAAAGUUUUAAAGGCAACAAGCAGCUCUAUAACUUUUCAAUUAUCGAACUCAAAAUCUAAAGGAUAAGGGUGCACAAAUAACUCUUCAUUUUAGCUAUUCUUUUCUCUACCAUCCGCCAUUUGAAUGGCUAGCUCUAAAAACUCUUCCAUGAAUUUUGCAUUUAGGGCUUCAAGUGAAUUUGGGUAGAUACAUCCUCCCGAAUAAAAAGAAUCAUAGAGGUAGGGAAAGACCAUGGGCUCUAACUUUAGCUCAUAUCCCCCAAGAUUAGCCCUACUCUUAUCUUUUUUCUUAUUCACCAUUUUCAUUCUGUCUCAUCUUGUUGGCUUAUAUCCUAAGCUGAAUCUAUUUUUCUUGUCAUAUACUACUAGUGGCUUUAUGAUUCCUUACAAGUUUUUUUCUAAUCCAAUUUCAGAUUGCCAUCCCAUUCCAAUGAGCUGUUUAAUGACCAUUUUAAAAGUCGUAGACAGGUGUGAAGAAUAUAAUUUAGAUCUUUCAGCUAUAUAUGUUACGUUAGUAACUUAAAAGAUCUAUAUGAGCACUCUAAGACUUUAUCUGUUACUUUUACAUAAGGAGUAUUUACCGGUUUGGUGACCAGUAAAUCUUUUCUCUUACCACACAUGUCAAAUUUUCAUCAAUAAUGAAUUUAACUUUUUGAUGCAAUGAGGAUGAAACAGCACUCGUCAUAUGAAUCCAUGACCUAACUAACAAGCAACUGUAUGAGGAAGAGAUAUCCAUAAGUUAAACUUUCAUGUUGAAAGUGCACGAACCAAUUUGUAAUGGCAUUUUUAUGUCUCACAGCAUCUCUCUUUGGGUCUCAUCAAAGGCUCAAACUAUUGUAUGACUAGGUUUCAUGUAAGUUUUAUCCACAGAUAGUUUUACCAGAGCAGUCAUAGGCAUAACAUUAAUGGAUGAGCCAUUAUUGAUCAAAAUCUUAGCUAUUAUAUGACUCUUGAAUUUUACAGUAAUGUGAAAAGCCUUGGUACUUAUUCGAUCUUUAGGAAGAAUCUCUUCAUCACUGAAAGAGAUAUAGUUUGAAAUUGUCAGAUUGCCAACAAGCCGUUUUACGUAUUCAACAGAUAAAUUAUGAGACACAUAUGCUUGAUUAAGCACUUUCAGUAGAGCAUUACGGUGUGACUCUAAGCUUAGUAAUAAUGACAAUAGCAAAAUUUUAGCUGGCAUCUUAUUCAACUAUUCUACCAUACUAUACUCACUAUAUUUUAUUAACUUUAGAAAUUCAUAAGCUUCACUCUCAGAGACUGACUUUUAACAUCUUUAUCUGGGACUACAACAUGAUUAUUCUGACAUUCCUCUUUUACUUUCUCUUUUUUGGCUUUCUCUAAAGCUUUUGGAGUAUAACAUCUUUCACUUCGAGUUAUACCUCUUAUGUCCAUUUUGUUCGCAGUAUCUAGAUUGACUACGAUAUGACAAUUGUACUUUUAUGGUACUGCUUUAUCAUUCUGGUAUGAAAAAGGACUAGAAACUUUAAUUGUCACUAUUGGUCGGGAUAUGGAUUUUUUUAACCUCGAUGUUGACUUCUCAUCAUAAUAAAUUGUUACUGGUCUACACAUAAACUUAUUCUUUGAAUCAAUGGUAGACACUUCAUCUUUCAUUAAUUCUUUUUUUUCUUCGUAAAAUUUUAUCUGACCUAUAUUCAUCAACUUCUGCACCUCUUGACGAAAUUGAUGACAACUUUCGAUAGAAUGCCCCAAAGCACCUUUAUGAUAAUUAUAGCUUUCAAUUGACUUAAUUGCUUUAGAGUAAUUCUGAGGUUCUAUUGACUUUAACAUAUCAGCUUUAACCAAGACUUCAAACACUUUAGCCAUCAAAGUCUUAACUUCAUCUAUUUUUUCCUUCAUGUGACUUCUUUGCCCAUCAAUUAAGGUAUUUAUUGAUGGUUUGGCAUGGUUCAGUAGAGGGUUCCCAUUAACAUUUGGAGUCUCUUAUUGGUUGGUUUAAAAGUUUAACACCCCUUUAUUGAUUAAUCAUUACACUUUGAGCUUUAAAAUAGUACAAUUCUCAAUGGAAUGACUGGGUUUCUAUAGUGAUAAUCACAAUGCACGUUGGGAUCAUACCAUUUGGGAAACAGAGGUUUAAAGGUUCAACAAUAACAGAAGCGAGUAAAUGUUUCUCAAUAAGUCAGGGAUACAAAUCUGUAUAUGUCAUGGGAAUGGGGUCGAAGAUAGAUUUUUCUUGGGUAUUUCUUAGGGCUUUUGGACCAUUGUUUGGACUAGGUCUCCAUUCUAGUCUGGUAAGUGCAGCAGGAUGAUUAUAGGAAUAGGUGGGUGUCCAAAAAGAUAGCUAAAACUGAGAUAAAUAAGCUGAUUGUGAUAAUGGUUGGUAUGGCUGAUAUGGAUGAGUAAACGUAACAUUAUUUAUGAAAGGGUAAUGGGUUUAGUAGACUGGUGCAGGAUAGGGCGUGAAAUCUCUAAAUUAUUACCCCAAGUAGUUCACCGUUUGAGCUUCAUUCUAUUUCUUUUUUGAAACUUCACCUUUCUUUGCUCCACUCAUUUUUCAUGCAUUGAGCUUACCAUUCUUUAUAGCAUUUUUAACAAUCUCACCUGAUAUCACUAUAUUUGUAAAGUUCUUGGUUACAUUACCUAUCAAUCUCUCAUAGUACGGUACUUUCAAAGUGUUCACAAAUAAGAUAAUUAUCUCUUUCUCGGUGAAAUGAGGUUGAACUUGUGCAGCCAUAUCUCUCCACAUUUAUACAUACUCUUUAAAACUUUUUAUUAUUUUUUUUCAUACUUUAUAGAGAUAGACGGUCUGAAAUCAGAUCCGUGACAUGCCAAUAUUGUGUAAAGAAUGCCCCAGUGAGCUCUUGCUAGAAAUGAAUACAAGCUUUAUCUAAUUGGACAUACCAUCUAACUAUAGAUCCCGUAAGGUUAUCCUAAAAUACAUGGAUCAACAACUUCUCAUCACGAGCAUAUGUUGUUAUCUUACGAUAAUACAUAGUGAUAUGGGUCAUCGAACAUUUUGUGUCAUCAUUUUUCUUAAAUUUAAAGACCUUGAAUUUAGGUGGAAUGACCACGUCUGGGACCAAACAAAGGUCGGCUGCAUCUAUGGAGCCAUAAAAAUUUAUUCCCUCUACGGCCUUAAGUUUUUCUUCUAAUACUUUCAUCUUUUGUUGGGCAUUGGUAUCUUUUACUUUCUCGAGUGUCUACAUCCCUAGUUUUCUCUCUUCUUGGGAUUAUCCAAGUCAAGAAUUAAGAUUGGCUCGGGUGAUUUUUUCAUCAUAAUGGGAUUAACAAAAUUUUGGAAUUAUCCUGAAACAAGUGUGGAUGUCAUUUUUGGAUAAGGAUUGAGAUAUUCACUGGAGUAAGAAUUUGUACUCUAGUUCUUUGAGAAGGUUGGGUCGAUUAUAGCUCAAAUCUUAAAGGGUAAACAAGAUCUACCAUAUAUGGUAAUUGCUCUUAAAAGCUAGGAUUUUCUUCUACUGCUUUUUCCUUGUUAGGUUUCUUGAGCAUAUAUAUUAUUACACUGAAAUCUCCUCUUAGUUUUCCUUAAGCUUUCUCAAUUCUCUCAAAUUGAUCGACCUAUUCUUGCUUAAUGAUUCUUGUUUGAGUCCUAGUAUUGUAUGAAUGAUAAAUAAGUUGGUCAAAAUUUUUGGUGGGCGAGCUAUUCUUGAACCUUUAUUACCACAAAGUUUUUGUUUUUUUUUAAAUCAGAAUGUUGUGUUGAAAAUUUUAUUUUUUUUACUUAUUUUAUGAAAAUGAUGUACUUAAUGCAUGAAUGCAAGUGGGAGAUAUUUGCUCUUGGAUGAAUUUUAACACUAAAAAUUUUUAUUGAUUCCAUACAACUUUUAUUACAUAGGAUUUACCAUCUUAGAAUUAUAUCCAUAGAAGUAUUUGACUUAUUCAUAAUGGUACUUCACCUCAUAUAAAAAGUUCACUAGGCGCUAUUCAUAUUCUCCUAUGGGAUUAACUUCUCUUCUUAACGCUUCUACCUUUUCAACCAUCUCUUAUGCUUUCGUCACUACCUUGUAAAUUUGAUUAGUCAGGUACUCUAUGUACUGUUGCCUCCCUAAGCUUUCUAUUUUCCAUCUCAUGCGAGCAUUUCUUUCUGAAUCACAUGUAAAAAUCUAAUCUUUUUUCCUUCUAUGCCAUUCAUCUAUUAUUGUUAAAAUAUGGCUCUUAUGGUUUUGCAAUUGCAUCUCUAACCCUUGGAUCACCUAAUGAAAUGAUUCUUUUUUAUUCAGUAUUUCAAAGUACUUUCUUCUCUCUUUUGCGAGCAUGGCUUUCAACCUUUCCUCUUC